CCACAUAUUCAAAAAAUGUCACAUACAUAAAAUCUCAUACAGGGCUGAAAUCCAUCCAUACGCGAAUUUAACUAGUGUAUUGACAUUCCAUACUAAAAAAGCUCUCUGUAAUUUUAUUACCGUUCUCUGUAAAUUAUAGCCGUUAACCUUUCUCGUCUUCUCCAAUGGGGACGCCGCUUGGCGAUCCUCCACCGAAUCCUCUCAAUAGAAGCCCUCAAUUCAGCGGGGGUAAUCCCCUACCUAUCUCUGCCAAUGGCUAUCACCAAUCUUAUGCAGCCUCUCUUACAGAACCCUCCUCUUCUGCAACCCCAAAUCGUCAAGAGCAAGGGAUGGUGAUGGCUCGAAGGUCAGUUCACAACGGGAUGCCUGCGGUGAUCUUCAAAGCAUCUGAUUGCAAUGGAAUCAUGGCAACUCCGUGUAAAAGAACGAUUGUCGGCAGGUGUAAUACCCCAUACUUUUUUCUAGCUCCUAGUGUAUCAAGGGUUAGCUUUGAAAAUGUAUAAUUCUUGAUGCGAGUAGAAUUUUCCAGCUUUAGACCCUUUCAUUUGUAGAUAAUUGAAUUACCUUUCAAACGAUACCAAUUUUAUCUUAAUUCGAUAUUCGGUUGAGAAGUUAUAACGAUUUUAGUGAAAGCAGUAGAUCACCGCGAUAAGCACCGCGUUGCGGUGAAGGACAAAUUCGCAAUUGUCCGAUUACAGUGAAGCACCACGAUUGACCCGCGUCGCGGUGAAGUUUCAGUUUCCGUUCGUCCCAUUCCAGUAGCUCAUCGCGAUUAGCCUAUAUUGCGCCAAACUUUCCAAUUGGACAAAUGACGCGUUGCGGUGGAGUGCAAAAUGACACUCAUCCUUUUCCAGUGGUGCAACGCGAUUACGUUGCGUCACGCCAGAGGCCAAAAUGGCAAUUGUCCCUUUUUCAGUAAGCCACCAUGAUAGCGUCGCGUCGCGGUGGCAUGCCAAAUCUGGAUUUUAAGUUUCGAGUAAAAUUUUAAAAGGGCAAUUUAGUCUUUUUCAAAGCCCCCAAAUCGUGAAUAACAGAGGAUUAAACCUAUUAUGCUCACUUUUCAUUAACUUUCUCUCAAAGAAACCCUAGAACAUCAAACCUUCAUCCCCAAUAAAUCCAAAUUCCUCCAUUCUUUCUUCAAGAUAACUCAAAAUUAAAGAUUCUCAAUCCAAGAACUUCAAGAAUCAAUCUUUAAGAGCACAAAUAGGAACUUAAAGUUCAAACUUCUUCAUCUAGUUAUCAAUUAAGGUAUGUGGGGUUAUGAGCAAGGAUAAAUCUUUCAUCCUUGUGCCCUAAACUAGUUUUUAACUACAAAGUUACAUGAUUUUGUAUGAUUACCCAUGAAUUUCAAUUUAGGGUUCAUACCCAAAUGUUGCUAUUUGAAGAUUAUGAGAUUUUAAGUAAUUUAAAUGAUGAAUUGCAUGGUUAUUUUCGUAUUUUCAUGUGUAUGAUAUAAAUUUUCAGAUUUAGAAUUGAAUUUCAAUGCUUUCAUUAUUAAGCAUGAACUUUACUAUGAUUUGACAUGAAUUUGAUGCAUGGGUUAUUUAGCCCUAGUUUGAAUGUUGAUAUUUCAAGAAUAACUAUACUUUAAGCAUCCCAUGACUAGUUAUUUUCAGAUCUUAAUAAAUAUUUGAUCUUUUGGUCUUAGCUUAGACUUGGAAUCUACUUUACAGUCUCAGUUACAGUUUUAGUUAACAGAUAUACAGUUGGUUUUCAUUAUAAACCAUUAUACUAGUUUUAAAGUGGAAUUCCAACAGAAUGAGCAUACAAAUUAAAGAGAGUAGUAUUUAGCACCGAGUUGGGUAUGUUCUCAUGCCCCAGAACUACGAGCCAACAUAGGUAAAAAUUAUCAGAUCAUUCCCAUUUCUAUAUGGAUGAAAGAUACAGAUGUGAUCACUUAGAUUAGGUUAUACUCCUUGGCAAGAGUAUGACACCUCUCCCCAACAUGAGAUUUUUCCAUAAGCGAACUAGACGUUGGAUACUAUAAUAGCUCACAUAGUGUAUGUCGGUUAGAUAAACCUCCCUACAGACUACAAACUACAGAUUUUAGAAUAGAAUAAUCCUAACAGAAAAGCUCUUAGAAACCAAGUGUAAAGGCUCACAAUUUUAUUCAGAUAUUGUUUUACAAAAGAUAUUAGCUAUAAGAUUUCAGAUUUCAGAUUAUAGAUACAGAAGUGAGUCCUUCUACACUUAGACAACAUGAUUUAAAGACAGAAUACUAAUACAACUUUUAGAAACUAAAUGCUAUGACUCACUAGAUUUAUACAGUAUGUUUUGCUACUCAUUAUCAUGAUUCUCAGUUUUCAGUUAUUCAAGUAAUGUGAGUCAUCUACAUUUAGCAUGCAUUCUUUUUUACAAAUUUAUAUUACUAUUGAGUUAUUGAUUUAUUUGUGCAUUCACCCCCAUAUACUCAGUACAAUCCAAAAGUACUGAUCCACAUAUACGUCUAUGUGCUACAUUAUCUCAUAAUGUAGGUUCAGGUGCUCAGUUUCAACAGCGUGAGUGAUUUCGAGUAUCUCUAUCGGCAUCCCGACAUUUGGUGAGUCCUCAUAGUUUGGGGACUUAGUCAUUUAGUUUUUCAACUUAUUAGUAUAGAUGAUUCAGUAUUUUCAGACAGUUCGAGUCGGCUGGGGGUUUGUCCCGAUGACUCUCUAGAUAUUAGUAGUAGAGACUUGUCUGGCUGUUAGAUAUGAUUCAGAUUUUCAGUAUUGAUUGAUCAGACUCUUGAGUCUAGUAUUUUCAACCAUUAUAUUCAGAUAAUUUUAGUUAGCUCAAACAGAAUUUCGCAUCUUGGCUUUGAUUAUAUAUCUUUAUUUCCUUCAUUUUGAGCUUCAGAUUUAGUAGAAGGUAGAUAGGGUUAGCUUAAGGCUACUCGUAGUCUUGAGAAUCGUGGGACAUCUCGGGACCCAUUUUAGGGGUGUUACAACAGGUUCUUGAAAUUUCGCCCCCAAAUAGAUAUUAUUAGUCUAGGCUUUCUGAGAAGUUUCCGUUAAAAGGGUCAGUUAAGAUAGAUGUUUAUGAUAACUUCAAUAUUUUCAUAACUUUCAACAAUGAUGAUGAUUUUAACUUAGUUCUUUAUUAAAGGGUGAUUGAAUUAGAUUGGUAUCAAAUUUGGUUGCAAAAGUGGACUCUGGAUUUCAAACCGGAGGAGGACACUCCUAUAGUUUUGGUAUGGGUUUUACUCCCAGGUCUUCCAUUUCAUAUGCAUAACUGGCAUUAUGCCAAACAGAUAACAGUUGUGGUUAGUAAACCCGUAGAGCUUGAUGUGGCCACCAAAACCAUGAAUAGGCCAAGUAUGGCAAAAGUGAGGGUUGAAAUCGAUCUUCUUAAGCCUCUAAUUCACAAUGUUUGGGUGGGUACAGAGGAUGAAAAUUCUCCAUUGAAAGGUUUUUCACAACAGAUCCAGUACGAGAAUAUUCCAAAAUAUUGUUAACACUGUAAGAAGCUUGAUCACUCUAUAAUCAAUUGUCGUGUCUUGGAAAAGAAAAAGGAAACAGAAAAGAAAGAGACAUUAGUAAAAGCUCAACAUGGACUUGAUCAAACUUCUACAAAACAACCCAAGACUAUUACAAACAAUCACGAUGAGCUACAAAACAAUCCAAAUAAGCAUCAAGAAAUUCGAAAUAGGGGGAGAGAUACGUCAAUUAAUAAUGCCCCCUCAAAAAGAAGCUUUAGAGGAAAGAGUAAACCCCCUAAAGGGAAUUACCUGCCAACUAGGAAUACAUUCGGGAUCGAUAAGCCUCAUGCUACUUCAUUAGCUGGAUUUGUCAACCAAAAGGGCAUCACAAGAGUGAAUAACAUCGAGGAAAAUCAAGAACAAGCCAACAAACAAAUUAUGACUCAUGAAGUGCCAAAAGACAAAUCCAAUAUUGCUAUGUAUGAAAGAGGAAAGGAUCUUGCAAAGGAUAAUAACAACGAUAUCAAUGAUGAAUCUGGAAUACAAAAAGAGUCUAUAGUUCCAAAACCAAAUAACACGAUAACCAUAAAAAACAACCAGGAACUCCAAACAGACAUUCUUGAUGGUGAAUGGAAAGAAGUGGGAAGUAAAAAAAGCAAGAAAAAGUUAGGAAAGAAAGUUGGAUCUCGUGGAAGAGAGCAAGAAAUUAGGGAAAUAAGUGAGGAAGCAAUUGCUGCUAUCACGCAAAAAAACUUUGAUGAGAUAAUGGAGGAAGAAGAAGAACAAUUGGUUAGCACGGGUAAGUCUAAUCCAAAAGGUAACAACGAAAAUAAAAAAGUUGCAGAUGAUGAAGACUCAGAAUCCCAAGAUGAAGUUAAGAUUCUUGAUUGAUAGUCAUAAGAUCUCUUUAGUUGCGAUUCAGGAACCUUUUGUUAAAGAGAUAAAAAUUGAGUAGUACAAGAAUACUUUGGAUAUGCAUAAUUGUUUUGCAAAUUGUAGCAACAAGAUUUGGAUUUUCUGGAAGCAUGGCUUGGAUUGUUCGAUCCACUCUAGUGAAGAUCAAAUUACUACUUGUAGGAUUUUAUGGGAAGGCCAUUACUUUUUUCUAUGAAUAGUGUAUACUAAAUCAACUACUUUGGGUAAGGAGGAUUUAUGGAUGUACAUGAGAGCCUUUGCUACUACUAUCAGUUCUCCUUAGGCAGUUGCUGGUGAUUUUAAUAGUAUACUAAGUGCAGAAGAAAAAUUAGGGGGAAAACCCCAUAAACUUAGCAAGAGUAUCCCUUUUAUGGAGUGCUUAUAUGACUGUUCUCUGUGCUUAUAUGACUGUUCUCUUACUGAUUUUGUAUAUACUGGUAGUAGUUUCACCUGGUGUAAUGAUCGAAAAGAGCAAAGUAUUAUCUGGAAGAGGUUAGAUAAAAUGGUUUGCAAUAACUCUUGGAAUGAUAGCUUCUCCCAUUGUAAUGUUCAUCAUCUUCCAAGAGUUGGAUCUGACAAGAAGUGUGAUAAAGAUGCGAUCGUAUAAAAUGAAUAUUCAUCAAAUUUACUAUUUUUCAAUUUGUUCUUUCGUCGAUGGAAAAUGAAAAAUCGGAAAAAUGAUUCAUUCCAACUGCCCUAUACUAAUCACUUUCGGAAACAACAUUGACCAUCAUAUAAAGUACUUUAGAUUUCUUAACUUCUGGCCAGAAUAUGAUGAUUUACAGAACAUCGUCAGAGUUAGUUCAAAUAUUCAGAUUAAUGGCAAUAUUUUUUGGCAGGUACAUCAGAAAAUGAAGCAUACUAGCAGAGCAUUGAGUAUUUGGUCUAAACUCAACAUUAGCAAUUUUUUGAGAAAACUUAACAACUUGAAAAAGAGGCGUCACAAAGUGAGGAAAAAUACAUGACCACACUGGACCCAACUGAUAGAAUGAAUAUGAAUAGAAUCAAGGCUGAAUUGAUCAUCCAACACAAAUAUGUUGAUACAUUCUGGAGACAAAAGGUAAAUCUCAAAUGGAAUCUGGAGGGAGAUGAAAACACUAUAUACUUUCACUCUAUUGUCCAAGGUCGAAGAAAUAUUCUUCAAAUACAUAGAAUCAAGGUUGAUGAUGACAACUAGAUAGAGGGUGAAGAAGAGAUAGACAAACCUGCUAUAAAAUUCUACGAACAUCUUUUCUCCCAGGGAAAUAAUAUGAUGGACAACAGUGUUCUGGAUCUUAUUCCUCAAUGUAUUAAAGAAGAAGACAAUCAAACAUUGGUUAUGGAGCCUACUGAUAGGAGAUUAAAGAGGCAUUAUUUGGUAUUAAUCCUAAUAGUUCUCCCAGGCCAAAUGGUUUCAGCGCGUUUUUUUUUUCAAAAAGCCUAGGAUAUCGUUGGACGAGACAUUAUUCAUCUAGUCAAAAUAGUGAUCAAUGGUGCUCUAAUGCCUAAAUACUUUACCAACACAUGUCUGGUUCUUGUUCCUAAAGUAUAGUCACCUUAUACAUUCUCUGAUUUUAGGCCUAUUAGUCUUAGUAAUGUCACCCAAAAAAUUGUCCCUAAAGUCAUGAACCACAAGCUCACUCACAUUCUCCCAAAGAUCAUUUCUCAUAAUCAAGUAGUUUCAUCAAAGGAAGAGCAAUUGGUGAGAAUGUUCUACUGGCACAAGAGAUAAUCCAUGAGAUUAAAAGAAAGAACAAAGGGGGAAAUGUUAUCUUUAAGAUUGAUAUGAAUAAAGCUUAUGACAGGAUCUCGUGGCAAUUUGUCUGUACAGUUAUGAAAAAGAUGGGAUUUGAUGAUAAAUGGAUACACAAUGUGUGAAAUCUCUUAUCAAAUAAUUGGUGUACUAUUAUCAUUAAUGGCAAAAGAAAUGGUUUGUUUCAAUCCCAAAGAGGAGUCAAACAGGGAGAUCCUGUAUCAUCUUCUCUUUUUACUAUAGCUGCAGAAGUCCUUUAUUUAAUGCUUAAUAAACUAUUUGAAAAUUCUUUUUUCAAUGGUGUCACUAUGGAUACCAUUGGACCAAAAAUUAAUCAUUUGUCUUAUGCUGAUGACUUAAUUAUCUUUUGUUCGGGUAAAACCAAAAUGCUAGAGUUGAUCAUGGACUGCCUAAAGAAAUACGAGCAGAGUUCUGGACAACAAAUAAAUAGAGAAAAGAAUUGUUUCAUAAUGGACAAUGACAUAUCUGCUAAAAGGAUCAAUAUAGUGUCUAGAAUCCUUCAGUUAAAGAAGAAAGAAUUUUCUAUCACCUAUUUGGGUUGUCCUUUACUUGCAGGCACAUAAAAGAUUGAAUACUUUGCAAAUAUGGCUACAAGAAUCCUCAAAAAGAUAGGAACAUGGCAAUGUAAUAAGUUGUCAACAGAAGGUAAGAUAAUAUUAAUCAAGCAUGUAUUGAAUACUAUGCCUGUAUAUAUACUCACUAUUUGUCAGUGUCACGACCCAAACUAGGGCCUGGCCGUGACGGACAUCCCGAACCAUGAAGUCCCGGAAUGCCCUUCUCUAUCUAGUAAUCAUGCACAACAUUUAUAUAAUAAAAGAAGAUGCGGAAACAUAAUCUGCUACAGAAACAUGAUUAAUUCUGAAUUCAAUAUAAGUAUGGAAACUAUAAAUCAACUACAUCUAAAUAACAUCUGACUCAGUCUGCGAAAUCUCUACUACAUGAAAAUCUGACAACUGUUUGAAAACUGGGACAAGGCCCCUAGUAGACCAAAACGGAAUGAGUGACAUAAUCUAAAAAGAGAGGCCUUCUGGAAUAGAGAAGGCUCACAAACUGGACACCUGCAACACUGUCCGAAUAGAAUCUACUGCUUUUUUGGACCCCCAAACUGAGCCUCAGAACUUGGAGAGAGGAGAGGGGGCUAAUACAAAUGUACUGGUACGUAAAAUAAUCCAAAAUAAAGCUUUUAUAUAAAUAAAAUAGUUGAGAGCAACUUGGCAAAUCAUUAUACAUCGUGGUUUUCAAAACACAUGGUCACUUUCUGAAAAUAUGUAACCUUUCUGUCAAUGCAAAUUCUGAUCUUUGUAUUACUUCUGAGUUAGGUGGCACUCCCCUACAAUUCUGAUAUUUCACGAGUUGUAUGGAAUCCUCCAUUGACUCGACGGAGAAGCUCCCAACCCGAGUGUGCCGCAAGAAUUGGAGUUUCUGAUUCUGAUACGCCACACGGCUCUAGGCCAGCGUAAUAUAUAAACUCGGAUCGGUAAAUCACUGUUUUGGACAAUGAGUUAUUUGAACUCAUGCCUUCUUCGAAAAAUCACCUAAACUCUCUUUAUGUCCAAUUUUAUCCUGUUUUGAAUCAUGCAUGUUUCUAGUUUCAACAUCUGAAAAGUCUAAUUUCAAACAUGUAUUCUAUUCUGUUCUGAAUUAUCAUGGCAUAACCUGAAUUGGUGUCGUCACACCAAGACUUGCAAAUCCUAUUUCUGAGCCAUAAUGCAAUAAGCAUGAUCUUCCAUUAAAACAUAGUUCAGACCACCAAAACAUGCAAAUAGUAUAAAAGAUUUCAUGUUCUGAAACAUAAGUCAAAACUAUGCACGAAUCCUUCGAACGUAAGGUGGUCGUGUGCUUUUGGCAAAACCAUGCAUCUUUCAUUAUAUGUACAUUCAACAUUUAUCAAUAAAAACAACCCUGUCUUUUGAAUUCAAGAUUCAUAAUCAAAUCAUUCAUAAAUCAAGGCUUUUCGGAACAAACUUUUCAAGAUGCAUUUCAAAACAAUUCAUAUCAUGUGAAAUAUGGAAACAAUCACAUCAAGAGAGGGAUUUCAUGUGAGUCAUGCUCUCAAUUCAAUAAAUAAAUCUUAAAACACAUGCUUGUAUAUAUAUAUAUAUAUAUAUAUAUAAUUUCAAAUCAAUUUGGGAGAAGGCCUAAAGACCAAAACAAUUCCAUCAAGUAUUCUAAAACAUGAUUAUAUUCAUAAAUCUAAAAACCCCUUUCUUAGAAUCAUGAUUUCUAUGCCCAUGAGUUUUUAAGAAAAUCCCGCGUACCUCUAUUUAGGAGUUCACUGGGUGCUUCUUGAAGCCUACGGUCUGGGGAUUCCGAAUCUCCAAUCAAUUUCUAAAACUCACGGUUGAAUCUUGAGUUAUGAGGAAUUUUUGUUUGAAACCCUAAGGGUGUUCUUGAGAGAAUUGAGUAAAGGAGCAAUAUUUUUGCUCCUAGGGGAGGAAAUUAUAUGUUAUAGACGGAUUAGGGUGAGGGGGAAUAACCAAAAUGCCCCUAGACCCAUAAAAAAACUGAAUUCACGUCUGAAAUAGUGUCGUGACGCAAUGUCUAUGCGUCGCAUCGCUAUUGCAUUGACUUACUGCCUCACACAGAAAAUGUCAUAACUUUUUGUUCGGUUAUCAAAUUUUAGCGAAAUUAGUAUCGUUGGAAAGCUAAUUCAAUUAUCUACAAUUUGGUGGGUCUUGAGCUGUAAAAUUCUAUGUGUAUAAAGAGUUAUAAUCCUUUAAAAUAGACCUUUGUAGAAUCGAAUAUCCAAUUUUGUGUGAAUGAAAGGCUCUUAGCUCAACCUUGCUUUAAGCCACUUCUAUGAACAUUUUUCACCUCAUAAACACUUAAUAUAUUAGGAGAAAUAUCAAGGAACAUGAAUUUAAAUAUAAACCAUGGAAUUUGAUCUUACGCAUAUAGGAACGACGAUUUAAUUUCUAGCUCAAAAAUUUGGGGUGUUACAGUCAGCCCCCAAAGACUGUUAUAUACCAAAUUGAGAAGAUAUUUCUCAACUUUCUAUGGGGAAGCAAAGAGUGGAAUCCGAAAUAUCAUUGGACAACUUGGUAUAAGUUAUAUUAUCCUAAAGAAGAGGGUGGUAUUGGCAUUAGAUCAAAAUUGGACAUUUCUAAAAGCUCAAGUGCCAAGAUUUGGUGGCAGUUUAGGACCAAUGAAACUCUUUGGACUAAGUUCAUAAAAGCCAAAUACUCUAAAAGAAUUCACCCAGUGGCUAGGAAAUGGAGUUAUAAGCAUUCUCAUAGUUGGAGAUAAAUGAUAAAGAUCAAGGAUGAAAUAGACCAUUUAAUAUAUUGUAGGAUUAACAAGGGCAAUUCCAGCUUUUGGUGGCACAAUUGGAUAGGUAUUGGUAGACUUUCCCAAUUUUUUAAUGUCUCUACUUCCAUUAGAAUUAAAGUUCCAGAUUUCAUGCAUAAUGGAGAAUGGAAUAUUAACAAACUUAACCAAGUUCUUCCUGUUGACUUUGUAAAUUUGAUACAAGCAAUUACCAUUAAAUUUUCCAAUCUUGAGGACGUUCCAAUAUGGAAAGUCAACUCAGAUAAAAAAGUUACUAGUAAAUCAGCUUGGAAUUUCUUAAGGAAAAGAGGUAAUAGCUCUCUAGUUAAUAGAAUGGUUUGGCAUAACAAGAACAAUUACAAGAUUUCCUUUUUCCUAUGGAAAGUGUUACAUAACAAGGUGGCAAUGGAUCUAAACCUUACUAGAUUCAAAGUCCACCUUCCUUCUAGAUGUUGUUGUUGUAGGUCUUAUGAGCAGAAAAAUGUGAAAAACUUGUUCUACGAUGGACAGAUAGCACAAUAUAUAUGGGAACACUACAAUAGACUUUUUGGUGUAAACUAGAGACAUAGCAAUUUGAGGUUGUUGUUGAUGAAUUGGUGGAUCUCUGAGGGAACUAAUCUAGUUCAAAAGAUGUUGCUACAAAUUCUACCUAGUGUCAUUAUUUGGUAGAUAUAGAAGGCUAGGUGCAAACAUAGAUUCGAGGACAUUCAUAUGAAUACCAGGAGCAUUAUUGUACACAUUAACAUGCAGACAGUGAUGAUUGCUCAUAAACAAUUCAGCGACAUAAAUCCAUUUAUGUCAUGGGAGCAAUUUUACAAUAUUUUGAAGAAUGCCAAAGAAAAGACCAUCUACAUUUCUAUCACAUGGACUAGACCAAAGGCUAAUUUUUACAAACUUAAUAUAGAUGGUUGUUCCAAAGGAAAUCCAGGUCCGAGUGGAGGAGGUGGCAUAAUUAGAGAUGAGUAUUGUCAUAUGAAGAUAGCUUAUGGAUUUUCUCUAGGUAUUCUCACUAAUAACAUGGCUAAAAUACAUGCCCUAGAAAUUGGUCUACAAUGGUGUGUAACUCAUGGUAUCAAGAACUUAGAAAUAGAGGUUGACUCGAAGAUCUCGAUGGAUUGGAUUAGUAAUAAUAUUGAUAUUCCAUGGAACCCGUGGAACAAGAUUACCGGCAUAAAGGAUAUGUUACUGUAACUGGAUAAUUGGUGCAUACAACAUUACUAUAGAGAAGGGAAUAAAGUAGUUGAUUGUCUGGCAAAUCGGGGCCUGUCAUAUGAUAAUAUUAUAUGGAUCACUAGCCAUCACAAUUUUUUUAGAGAAGCCAAAGGAGAGGUUAAUAUGAAUAGGAUGGGCGUUCCAUCCCUUAGAACGAUUAUCAAAAAGAACUCUUUCUCUAUGGGAAGAGACAUGUAUAACUUUUAUAGUUUUGAUGUCCCCUGAGGGUUAUGUAUAGAAGAGGUCUUAUACCUUCUUAUGUUUUUGGGAGUUUAUUAGAAAUCCUACUUUACCAUAGAAUGAGGAGUGUCCCAUUCUUAGUAGGUGGGGAGGCUUUCCUCUUUUGUUUGUAAUUUUUUUAUUUUAAUCAAAGUCAUCCACUCUCAAUAGAGUUGGAUGGAAAAAUUUAAUUUAAAAAAAAAGAUUCAUUCAUACGCAAUUCAUUCUUUCCUUGAGCAAUUUUGGUUCUAAAAAAUCAUUAGUCAUUGCACCAUUCUCAUCAAUAAUCUUUGUCCUCUCCACCUCCGUCUCCUCCUCCGCGGGCAGUAGAGUGGCGACAGUGAGGUUUUUCUUUUAUUUGAUUGAAAGACAAUCGAGAUUUUUGAGAAGGGGGUAUACUGGGACUGAAAAUGAUGCUAAUAUUAGCUGAAAAUUGUCUACCGAGGAUUAAAAGGAAGAAGAAAAUGAAGAAAAGAGAAUGAUUUUGACCAAAACUUUGUUUCUUUUUUCACUUCAGAAAAUUCAAGAACUAAAGUUUAUUAUUCAAAGUAAAGUAAAAUUCAAGAACUAAAGUUUGACAACAAGAUAAAUUCAAAAGAGAAUGAAGGACAUAAUGAAUUAUGUGUGGUUGAAUUUCAACCUUUUUAUGUGAUUUAAUUUUAUCUACGUGACAUCUUUUAAUAUGUGGAAUACUUAUUUUCACAUCAAACGCGUAAUUUUUUUUUAUGAAAUAUGUCAAAUCAGCUUUUUGUGUCUAAUUGGAACAAAGUUGUGUAUAGUCAAUUGUAACAAGAUAAAGUUCAAGUAAAUGAAAAUUUUGGACAAGUUUAAGGGGUUGAAUAUGUUUUGACCGUUUUAUUGUAAUUUCAUCCUCCUACCUUAUUAGUGUACGAAAUUGUCCUUCAUAUAUUUGAUCACAGACUCAAAAGACUCUGAAAAAUGAUGAAAAAACUAUUGUAUGUAUCUAGGCCUUCUUCACAUUAGGAAUUAUUGACUGUUUGACCAAACUUCUAAAUUGACUUAUAUUGAAAAGUUUUUAUUUCAAAAAGAUACUUUUAAUGAGAAAUAAUUUGUGUUUGACCAAUACUUCUAAAAAGUACUUUGAACAGUAGCUGUAUUUUUUCAAAAGAACUUUUCAAAUAAGCUUUUCUAGGAAGAAACUACUUUUUAGCUUAUAAAAUAUUACUUCUACUAAUUCCUAAAAAUAUUUAUUUUCUCUCAAAAAUUUAAUAGAACCCCUUACUUAAAAAAAAAAAAAAGCACUGUUCACGAUAAAAAAAUAGCUUGUUAAAUAGGAGAAAAUUGAAGGAAAGGUGUCAUUUAAGUCUUGAAUGAAGGAUUUGUGACAUUGACCAACUUAAAGGGUCAAACAUAAUUAGAAAACUUGAUUAAGUUAAUUGUGGACUUGAUUAAUAUUUUUAAAACUUUCUAAUCUCUUCAAAAAUACAAAUCAACCCACACCCCUCUCCUCUCCAAAUCAACCGUCUCUCCUCUAUCUCUUUCUCUCUCGACAGUUUCUCCCAAACAACAGUUCUGUAAAUUUCUCCUUUCAAUUCCCGACGACUUCAACCUCCGAUGAUAAAUAGUUGGGCGUCGAGUUCCUUUUCCACUUUCAACCGUCAAUCGACGUGACAACCUUGUUCUCCGACCACAACAGCUUUGAAUUCUUCAUCGUCCCUUUUUUCUUUCAUAGGUAAAAAAUUAUCGCCUUUUUAGUUUUGAAGAAAAUGAGGAACUUGAGUCAACUUCUCUUCUAGUAUUGGUUAACAAUUUCAAUAUUUGUUGCUUUAACUUAAAAUGAGGUGUGAAUAAACCCUAAUUUUUGGUAUUUCUUCUCUUCUCUUUUCGGAGUGAAUUAUGAUUUUUUGUUAUUUGUUGUAUUUUUUUUGAAGUAUGAUUUUUGUUGUUUGUGUUUAUACAAACAAAACAACGAUUUUGGUGUUUUUCGUGUUGCGCCUGUUGCUGGGUUGAUUUGUUAUUGUUUUUGGUAAAAAUGGUUAUAUUGUUGUUGUUCUAUUGAACAAAAUCAUGCUACUAUUUUUUUUCUACAACAGAUUAUCCAUCUGAUGCAACAGAUUAACCAUCUGAUGCAACAGAGGAACCAUCGAAUUAAAAAUUUGAUGCAAUAAAUUAACCAUACGAUGCAACAGAUUAACUAUCUGAUGCAACAGAUUAACCAUCUGAUGCAAUAGAGGAACCAUCGAAUUAAAAAUCUAAUGCAACAAAUUAACCAUAUGAUGCAACAAAUUAACCAUAUGAUGCAACAGCUUAACCAUCUGAUGUAACAGAUUAACCAUAUGUUGCAACAGAUUAACCAUCUGAUGUAACAGAUUUACCAUUAAAUGCAAUAGAGGAACCAUCGAAUAAAAAUUUGAUGCAAUAAAUUAAUCAUCUAAUGUAACAGAUGAACCUUCUGUUGAAUAAAAUCCUAUCAACUAUUCCAACAGGACAUGUCCAAGACUUGAUUUUUCCAAUUGAUCAUUCAUCUGUCGCGAUAGACGACCCUUCUAUUGGAAGAAAUCUAAACAAUAUUGACCAUUGAUAACUAUUUCAAUAGAUCACUUAUAUAUUGCAACAGAUAUGUGAUCUGUUGCACAAACCAUUCAUUUGUCUUAAUAGAUGAGUGAUAUAUUUUCUAUUUUUACAAUAGAUUACUCAUUCGUUGCAACAGGUUAGUUAACUAUUCCAAUAGAUCACUCAUAUAUUGUAACAUAUAUGUGAUAUGUUGCACAGACCAUUCAUUUAUCUCAACAGAUAAGUGAUAUGCUUUCUACUAUUUCAACAAAUUACUCAUUCGUUGCAACAGGUUAGUUAUUUGGUGCAACAGAUAACCUACUUGGUGCAACAGAUGUGUGAUUUAUUGAAACUAUUAUUUUACUAUUUUGCAUAUUAGAUUUACUGUUAUCAUUUUUCAACGAUGUAUUAAUCAACUAAAUAUAUUUUAUAUUUCUGUUAAUUUUUGAUAAUAUGGCUCCCAAAAGAACAAAGAACAGAUCAAGUUCAUGUAAAGGAACAAGUGAAACAGCUAGGCUACAUCCAUCAAUCUAUGAGCUUGCUUUAUAAGCGGUAUCUCAACCAGGAGUAGAAUAUGAUGGAGGAGAAAUGGUUCAAAAGAGAUGAUACAAAAACUAAUAGCCUUUUCACCAAAGAGUUGGUCAAAACCUUCAGCAUUGAUCGUUAUCUUGUGAGAAUGCAGUGCGAUAGUGCCAUAGAUUUAAUGAGUUAUUUUGUGGUUAAGUCAGUCAUGAGAUAAUCUUUUGAUUCCUUCAGAAAAAUAAUUCGAUAACAAAAAUUGAAUGCUUAUUUCAGGGAUAACUGCUUUGGGCAAUAUCUUGAUUUGCCGGACGACAAUAGUGCUCAUUUCCAAAUGAAAAUUGUAUAUAACCUUCUCAAGUAUAGGUUUAUGUAUGAAAAACAAAGAUAAUAUGGAUGAGGUGUGGAUAAAUUAUCGUGGCAUAUCUGUUUAUUUUAAUUGGAAGGAGUUUACCAUAGUUACUGGACUAAAAUAUUAUCCUCCUUCUCCUUCUCAAGUUUUACCUAUUCUAACCCAAAAAAAGCACCCCGCACACCGAAAAAAGGCAAAGACAAGUCGAGUGAUCGUGAUGACCUGGUGUCCAUUGUUGGUCCAAGCUUCAAAAACAAAAAUUUCAUAGAAGCGUUAAAGGUAAAAGAAUUUCAAAGAAUCACAAGCAAUCAUUAUGCUUGAUUUGGUUUGUACAUAAUAUUCUUUGGGCGAGAGACGUUAACAACAACAUAAACGUUGGUUUAAUAAAUCUCUCCGAGGAUCUUGAGGCAUUUAACAACUAUCCUUGGGGUAAUGAAAGCUUCAAAAUGAUUGUCAAAUAUUUGUUGACUCCGUUAAUGCCAAAGAUAGUCAACUUAUAUGGCUUUCCAUUGGAUUUCAUGGUAAAUGUUUCGUUUAUUAUGAUAUGAUUCAUUUUUUUUACUCAAUAAUAGUUUUGAUUUAUUGGCAUUAUUUUAUAGGCUUAGGCGUUUGAAGUCAUUCCUUAUUUGAGACAACAAGUGAACUAUCAGGAAGAAGUUUCCUGUCUAAGAAUCUUGAGAUGGUUGUCGGCCAAAACUGAUAAAAAUGUAAUAUUUCUUAAUCUCUUCAACCCCCCGAAGGAUGCAUUAAGUAUAAUUAUAAUUAAGUUUUUGUUUUAAUUAAUUGUUUCUUUGAAUGAUCUAAUCAUCAUUCUAAUAUAUGUAAUGAUUAAUGUUAGAUUGUGCAUCCGUCGCUUGUUCCGACCAAUUAAAAGUUGAAGAUGCCAUUUUUUCUUACUUUACAGUCUGUGCAAACUUUAUCGGACCCUAAGGUCAUUGAUAGAAUAAAAAUAGAAUUGUUUGGAGCAACAACUAUCACAAGAAAAAUAAUUUUGGAGGGUGGGUUUGUUGUUGUUGAUAGUCUUAGUGGUAAUGGAGUUGUUGGUGGUGGUAGUGGUGCUAUUGUUGGUGAUAAUGAUGCUCCACUUACAGUUUUUAAAACAAAUCAUUAUAAGUAUGAUCAUACUGGUUAUACAGAUUUUGCCUCUCCUAGCGAAUAUUCUGCAUACAAAUGUUAAGACUGCAAGGAGAAACAUGAUGUAGUGAUUAAUGAUAUUAAUGUAUUAACUGCUUUUGUAAAGGAAUUAACAUCUAAGAGGGGUGUCAUUCCAUCAAAAAAGAUUUUAUAUCCAUCCACUCUAUUAGAGAUUAAGGCUAAGAGGAUAAAGAAAGUAAUUUUCAAGGCAUUAUCAAGCAUCCAAAAAAGCAAAAUUGCAACUCCUUUAUCCGUGUUGCACUAUUGAGCAAUGUAUAAUUGCCAAAGGAGAUCAGCACGAGCUGAAGAAGAUGAUAUGUAUCGUAUAUUCCAACUAAAAGAUAGACACAUAUCUAUUUCAACAGAUGACACAUCUGCUGAAAUUAUCAAACAGAUAUAUACAUCUAUUGCAAUAGUUGACUAACCUGUUGCAUCAGAUAAAGUAUCUGUUGCAACAUAUGUAUCGUCUGUUUUAGAAAAUCAAAUAGCUCUACGUACCUCUUUUAUUUAUACCAACAGAUGACCUAAUUGCUGCAACGGAUGGGUCAUCUGUUGGGAUAAAUUAAAUCAAGACUUCCUACCAUUUCAGUUUUUCAAACAGAUGAGUCAUAUGUUGCAACAGAUGGUUCAUCCGUUGGAAAUUAUCAUACAUAUUUUUCUCAUGUUAUAAUUUAUCACAACAGUUGAUCCAUCUAUUACAACAGAAAUAUAAUCUGCUUAGGAUAAUUUAAAAUAGGAGGAAGGACUGUUUGAUUUGCUAAAACAGAUAAGUUAUCCUUUUUCAUUUUUUCGUAUCUCCGUGAUUAGCAUUAACCAAUUCUGGCUUUCCAGGUGGAUGUCACUAUAGAAGCUACAGGUGAAUAACAUUAACAAUAUGCUACUCUUUUUAUGGAAAUACGAAGAACAGAAAGCGCAGAAAUCGUAUGCAAGUGACAUUAAAGAUCCACGACGAUCAAAGCCAAAUUUCAUAGCACCGGAUGAAGAACAACUUAUCCAUAUUAAGUAGAUCUUUAUAGCUUGAGUCUUUCAAAGUAAUAACCUCACCCCUCCUUAGGAAUUCUUGGCAUAAUACUUAAAUUCUUGAUGUAUUUGUUGAGAUCUCUACCCAUAAUAAUUUUUUUACAUUUUAUUUAUUUGUUGAUUUAUUAGAUGUAAUUUCUAAAGCCUGAAACUUAUUUUAUUUUAUCUAUAACUUUUAUUUUAUCCUUAUAUUUAAAAUUAUUAAUUGAAAUGGAAUACAAUAUUCAAAUAUUGCAAAAGAUAAGGUAUUUGUUGCAACAGACGACAUAUCUGUUGAAAAAUAUCAAAUAGAUUUAGACAUAUGUUGCAACAAGUAGGUAAUCUAUUGGAAAUUAUCAAAUAGAUCUUUCCACUAUUGCAACAGAUAGACUUAGAUAGAAAUAUUGACAUAAUACAAUAGAUGACCAACCUAUUACAAUAAAUAAACUAUCUGUCAGAACAGAUAGACUAUCUAUUACAACAAAUGGAUAAUCUGUUGCAUUACAAAAAUUCAACUUUCAUUAGACAUAAAAAAUUUCCACUAUAUGUAAAGUGAAGUGACUUGAAAUAAAAAAAGGCGGAACCCAUCGACAGUGUUCAUUUUAAACACCUAAAAUAAAAUAGACAUCAAGUAGACAAUGUUCAGUUUAAACACCCAAAAUAAAAUAGGCAUCAAAUGUGUCAGUUUGACACUUUUUGCCCUGUUGGCAGCUUGAAUGUAAUUCACGCAACCAAGGCUUGUUGAACCCCUAUUUUUGCUGACUUGGCAUAUGAUUUGGCCCCCAAUGGUUAUUUUCCACCAUUGUCUUAUAUAUUCAUCUUCUUCCUAAAAUUUAAUCCUAAAUUCCCAAAUCUUCUUCUUCUUAAUAUUUUUUCUCUAUCUAAAUUCUUCAAAUUAUUUAUUUUUGGUUUUUCUGCAUAUUUUUUUUAUUUUUUUCAACUGAGUUUGACAAUGUCGAGCUCAUCUUCCACUGUUUUUUAUGAUAAAUAUUUUAGAUAUUGUAAGUAUGGUCGUGAAGCUCUAUUGAAGACUUCUUGGACUCAACAAAAUUCAGGUCAUAGGUUUUUUACUUGUAAGAUUUCAAAGGUAAUAUUUUUUUUAAUUAGUUGAUUAAUUAUUGACCUAUAAUUAUUUUAUAAUUAUGGUCUUAUUUUUGUAGAAGUUAGGUGGAUGUGAUUACUUUAAUUGGUAUGAAGAACGAUACCCUUCACAAGUAAAUCGUGUAAUCAGGGGUUUGUUGAAGAAAGUCAAGGCUUUUGAAGAUAAACAAAAUUGAGCAAGAAGAUACUACAUUGUUGGCGUUAUUGCUACUGGUUUGGUGUUGUUGGGCACAUGGAUAUUCAAGCCUAAUUGCUGAAAUUUUUAUGGUGGUAUAUUUGUAUUUGCUACUGAUUUGGUGUUGUUGAACACAUGGAUAUUCAAGCAUAAUUGUUGGAAAAUAUCAAAUAGAUUUAGACAUAUGUUGCAACAUGUAGGUCAUCUGUUGAAAAUUAUCAAACAGGUCUUCCCACUGUUGCAAUAGAUAAGACUUAGAUAGAAACAUCAGCAUAAUGCAACAGAUGACCAACCUAUUACAACAGAUAAACUAUCUGUCAGAACAUAUAGAAUAUAUUUUACAACAGAUGGACAAUCUGUUGCAUUGUAAAAAAUUCAACUUUCAUCAGACAAAAAAAUUAUCACUACAUGUACGUUAAGUAUGUAAAAUGAAGUGACUUGAAAUAAAAAAAUUGUUAUUUCACAGGUUCUUCUUUAUACACAAGCUCCAAGCGUCCAGUUAGUAACCCAUAAGCCCAAACUUAUUGCAUGUUUUCCACAGCGUUAUCGCAUAGAAAGGUCGUUGGCUCGGCCAUUUUUGUGUUGUUCAGCAAACAUUUGAUGUGUGCAAGAGCAUGCGACCCUUACACGAUAGCAGUUUCAUUUUUUGGAAAGUCCAUGUCCUUGUUUCGACCUUUAAAAUCCUAUGAUUGCUUCAUCAACACUUUCGUUGGCAAACAAUCCAUCAGUUUACACUGCCUCAACAAGAUGGGGAACAACUCCAACAGUGGAUGCAUGUGGGUAAAAAAAUCAGUCUCGUCCAAGGCAAGUAAGUUGCAGUCAUACACCUUGAUCUUUUUCUCCUCGAGUAGUAUCUCAAUAGCCCGAUAAUAUAUGCCAUCCACGUUCAUAACUCUAAGAAUUCUAUUUUCCUUGGUCCAGCUCUUGCCUUAUGGAUUUAGCCUCUCCCCUCUACCAUAUUUUAUCAUUUCUUCAUCCCAUUGGAACCUAGAAAGUAAUGAAUCAAAUCCCUCGCCACUGGGAGUUAAUGCUAGCUUACUGAGAUCAUUGUACCUAUCCUAGAGAUUCUUGUAGAAGUCGAGGUCCAUUAUCCUAUCGGCAGCAUCAUAAGCUUCUAGGUAUGCUAAUUGUCUGCCCCUCGUAGGGUAGAGAAUUUCUUCAAUAUACUAUGCUAUAAGAAGUUAAUUUUUGAAUAGGUUAGUAAUUGUAAAGAAGGGAAACAUAGUGGAAAGAUGCUACGGAUGGUCUAUCUAUUGUAGGAGGUUUUAUGAAUCUAUUCACAAAUUACCAUCUAACACAACUUAUAUAAGAGAUGGGUAAUAUGUUGCAACAGAAUAACCAUAAGUUGCAGUAGAAUACACAUAUGUUGCAAUGGAUGACAAGUAGAUUAGAAGGCUAGGUUAGGAAAAAUAAACUUACCCUGUCCACGUACUGGAUACGCAUAUCUAUCAUACUUCUGAAGUCUUGGGCAAAAAAGGUAUGGAUGGGGUAAUCUUGUGCACCUUGCUUAGAAAUCUUGGCCCAUCAUAGAUCCAUCUUCUCUUUGGCGCCAAGUUCUGUGUAUAUGUCCACCUUCUUGAAUGGACCUUGAACUUCAAAAACUUUUGGAGAGGGAGGAGUUGUAAUUUUUUUUACUUUCGAUUGGAGAGUACUUGGCUAAUUGCUCUUUUUUUCCUCCCAACCGCCACAGUAGGAGUGUAUGGAUCCCUUAUCUUUUUGGAUGGUGUGACACCCCUCUUGAAUUUUAAUUCCUCAACAGCUUUAGUGAUAGCCUUUACCUUUUCAAAGAGUUUAUCCUGGCUGUAUUUGCACUCUUUGCAUUUGCAAUGAGAAUAUGAUGGUGAAGAGGGAUGAGACGGACCUGUGUAAGGGUGAGAUAGACCUGUGAAAGGGCUGUUUUCAAACAUAUUUAUUUUUUCUUGAGCAUCAAAAUGCUCAACAUUACGAUUGGAUUGGCAAUAGUAUCAGCAUGCUUGCCACCAACAUCAACAACUCACCAGCAACACCAUCGAAAGAAACACCCAGAUCUGGUAUAGUAGGUUGGUCAUGAAAAGCCUCAACACUAGGUUGACCUUGCCUAACUGCUCUUCUUAUGGUUUUUGCUCUAACCACUUUCUUAUUUACUAACUCCACCAUUGGGUCUGCUAUUGUAUCAACAAGACCUAGAGUAAUAAAAGAAGUCAUCCCCAACUCCUGCUUAGGAGGCACGAUCCAUGGAUGCACAACCUAUAUAAAAAUAUAGAUACAUUUAAAUCAUAUUAUAAUUUGCACUUAGUUGGGUUACAUGUUAACACAGACAACUUAUGCAAUAGAUGAUCUAUUUGUCACAACAUCUAAUCUGUAUGUCGCAAUAGAUUAACAAUAUGUUGCAUUAGAUUACCCAUCUAUUGCAUAAUUUGCAGUAGAUGGGUAAUCUGUUGUGUUGAGUUCAUAGAACCAGAGCAAUAGAUGGUAAAUCUUUUCCAAAGUAUGGAUCAUCUAUUGCAAUAGAUUACCCAUAUGUUGCACUAAUUAUAGUAGACGGGUAAUCAGUUACAAUAGGCGACCUAUCUGUCGCAACAAAUGGCACAUCUGUUUUAGUAUCUUUCUUUGAGUCAAAUUAUUUUACUUGAAAGAAGACGUACUGCAUUAUCUGAAGGGUUAAAGAGAUUAACCUUCUUAAUUCUUAUGUUGCUCUUUGCAGUCAACCACCUAAGGAUCCUUGGAUGAGAAUCUCAUCCGAGUAUUCCUUGACCUGCUUUCGGAGGUGAGGAAUGGCUUCAAAUGCCCAUGCCUAAAAUAUGUAAACAGGAGGCAAGCAAAAAAAUUCAUAAUAAUUAUUCAAUAUAAAUUAAUGAAUGAGUAAAUAAAUAGUGAUUAAAUUUAUCAUGAAAGACCAAGGAAAGCCAUAUAAUAUGAUCGUCUUUGGGGAUAAUUUUGUCAGUAAAUAUUUGAUAGUCAAGUAGUAGAUGUCACAUCCCCAGGGAUGAUUGUUGAAUUUCUCAAAAUCCUCAGCAAGCUUCAACAAAUCAUCUUCUAUGACUUUGCUAACGUCUCCCUUCAAUAUAAUGAAAUGGGCAAACCAAACUUUAAUGCCCCAAAAAUGGGUCUCGAGACGUCACACGAUGCUCAAGACUACGAGUAACCUCAAGCUACCCCUGUAAGCCUUUUAUUAAUUCUAAAACCCAUAAUAGAGAAAUAUAGACAUAAAAUUAAUGUGGAAGUCUGCCUGAUCUAAGCUGAAAUUAUCUGAACAUAAUAUCUUAAAGUAUUAGACCUAGAAGUUUGAACAAUCGACACUAGAAGUUAGAAUUACAUCUAGCAGUCUAACAAGCCUCUACUACUAAUAACUAGAGAGCCACUGGGACAAGUACCCAGCUGACUCAAACUGACUGAAAAUACCAAAUCAACUACUCUAAUAAGCUGAAAAACUAUAUAACUAAGUCCCCAAACUAUGAGGACUCACCAACUGUCGAGAUGUAGAUGGAGAUGCUCGAAAUUACUCAUGUUGCUGAAACUGAACACCUAAACCUACAUUAUAAGAUAAUGUAGUACAUAGACGUAUAUGUGGAUCAGUACUUCUAGAAUGUACUGAGUAUAUGGGGGUGAAUGCAUAAGUAAAAUAAUAUAUCAACAUUAUUAUGAUUUGUGAGAGAAUGAAUGCUAAGUGUAGAUGACUCACAUUAGCUAGAAUAACUAAAAAUAGAGAAUCAUAAUCAUGAGUAGUAAAGCAUGUUGUCUAAAUAUUGUGAGUCAUAACACUUAGUUCGAAAAGUUGUACUUGUAUUCUAUUUUCAAAUCAUACAUGGUAAGUGUAAAGGAACUCACCUCUGUAUCUAUAAACUAAAAGUUAAAAUCUGGUAGCUAUUGACUUGUAUAAAACAAUAUCUGAAUAAAAUUGUGAGCCUUUACACUUAGUUUCUAAAAGCUUUUUUGUUAUUCUUUACUUUUUUGUAGGCUGUAGGGAAUUCUUUUAAAAGCUUUCUGUAAGGGAGGUUCUUCUUACUGACAUACACUAUGUGAGUUAUCAUAGUGUCCAACGUCUAGUUUCCUUAUGACAAAACCUCACGUUGGGGAGAGGUGUCAUACUCUUGCCAAGGAGUAUAACCUAAUCUAAGUGAUCACAUCUAUAUCUGUCAUCCAUAUAGAAAUGAGAAUAAUCUGAUAAUCUAAACCUACAUUGGCUUGUAGUUCUGGGGUAUGUGAACAUACCCAACUCAUUGCUAAAUACUACUCCCUUUAAUCUCUAUGCUCCUUCUAUUGGAAAUCCACUUUAAAAACUAGCAUAGAGGUUUAUAAUGAAAACCAAUUGUGUAUCUGUUACUUUAAUCUGUAACUAAAAAUGUAAAGUGGAUUCCAUAUCUAAGCUAAGAUUAAAAGAUCAAAUCUUUGUUCAAAAUCUGAAUAUAACUAAUCAUGGGAUGCUUAAAACCAUAAUCUUCUUGAAAUAUCAACAUUCAAACUUCACCAGUUAGUUCUGCAGGGUCAUCUAUCGGCAUCAUAGCGUGAAACCUAUCAAUACAAAUAGUUUUGACAACCUUAUGUUGGGAUUUUGAUAUUAAUUCACGCCCUAUUGGUGAUGCAUUAUCAUCUUCUUUUCACUUUCUUCUCCCUUCUAUUUUUGUUUAUCUUCUUGUUCCUUCUCCUUAGCUUCAUUUUUCUCAUCACCAUCUAUAGACCCUUGUCCACCUCCCUCAAUGUCAUUUUCAAAACUUUCCUCAGCUUCACUUUUCCCUUACUGAGAUUGUUUAGGAACCUCCUCUGAAUCCCUCUGUAUUGUAGCCUUUUUUAUUUGGUGGUCAGAAAUUAAUCCAUUUCCACUUUCUUUUAUUUUGGGAGACAUGUUUUACCUACAAACAAUAUAAAAAAGAAAUAUUACAUUAUAAUUGAUGUAUGCAUAAAUUUUAAAAAAUACAUUACAAACACUACCAAUACUGACACCACCAACAGCCACCAUAAACACCACCAACCAAUGCCACCAAUAGACACCAUAAACACCACCAGUGCCACCACGACGACCACUAACACCACCACCAAUACUACAAACACCAUCCAACAAUACCACGACAGUCAACAGAAUACUGCAAUAAAAACUAGGAUUUUCUCAGGUUUUUUCUAUGAUUUUACCAUCAAAACUCAAAAUUGUAAACUCAUUCCUGAAGAUAAUAAAACUAAAAAUCUUCUUUUUCAUCAUUAACUUAAAAUCCCUAAUUUUUAGAAAAAAUAACAAAUAUAAAACUCUUCUCAAACUCUGUUACCUACGAAGACAGAGAAAAUGACUGAUACAAGCAAGAAUGAAGUUGAAAAUAACACCUAUGUGGACGAAAAUGGGAAGAAAUCAAUCUGUUAUGAAGGGUUGAGCAAUUUGUUGAGUAAUUGUUGUAUGUAUUGUUGAGAGAGAGAAAAGUGAUAGAACUCGAGAUUUAAAAUGAUGAAAUAUUUUCCCCCCAAAUGGUUGAUUGUAUAGGUUGAUUUGUAUUUUGAAAAAGAAUGACAAGUUUUGAAAAUAUUAAUUUGGUCCGAAUUGAUCUUAAUUAUUUUUUUAAAUUUUAAAAGAUACGCAUAAUUUUUAACCGUCUCAUCUUGCAAUUGCCAAAAGACUCAGUUGAAGUUGUAGUUGACCCUAUGAACUCACUCCUAGUUCUAGCUUAAUCAAUUUAGGCAUUAGCUUGACAAUGAGGUAACAAGAAUCGCUUCAACUCAGAGUGAUCAAUCGAUGACUCAAGUCGGUAGAAACGUCAUACCAACAUCAUGUAAUUGCCAAAGACUCAAUUGAAGUUGUAGUUGACAUUAGGAACUUACUCCUAGUUCUAGCUUAAUCAAUCGAAGUUAUAGCUGAACAUAUAAACUCAAUUGAAAUUUUAUAAAAAUAAAUGUUCAACCUAUUGCAACAGAUGACUUAUCUAUUGGAAUUUAUCAAACAGAUUAAGCCAUCUGUUACAACAGAUUAACUAUCUGUUGUAAAUUAUCAAAUAGGCGUUGUUAUCUAUUGCAACAAAUGAUCGAGCCAUUGGAAAUUUUCAAACAGAAAUUGUCAUUUGUUGCAAAGUAUGGCUUAUAUGUGUAAUACCCCGGGAAACUUUUUGUUGAAAUUUUGUGCGUAAACGUGUUGGGUUCUAUCUUCUAGAAUGAAUUAUAAAUUUUUUGUGCAGAAUGUCUUAGAUUAUGACACACCAUUGCAUAAAGUAUCAAAUAAGCUUUCCAACGAUAUGUGGGUCAUCCAAAACGGACACUCGAGCGACGAGUUAUGAACAUUCCAAUCGAACCAUGAAUAGUAGUGAAUAGUAAAAUGUGCAGGUAAAAGUACUGAGGCCUAGCGUAUUUUUGCUCGAAAUUUAAAUGAUCAUAACUUCUUGUGCAUAAUGAUUUGGGUGAUCUACUAUAUAUCAACGGAAAGCUCUGCGAGUCCUCUUUCCAAUGAAAUUGGUUUCAUCCAAUUUAUCUAUCGGAGUAAAAAGUUAUGGUCAAUUUACUUUAGCCUAUCAAAAGCAAAUUUUUGGGUCAACUUCAAAUGAUCAUAACUCCUCGUACACAAUGAUCUGGGUGAAACUAUAUAUCAAAGGAAAUAUAUAAGAGUCCUCUUUCUAAUGAAAUUAUUUUCAUCCAAUAAAACAUUAUGGUUGAUCUACUUCAGACUAUCAAAACAGACCACCAAAGGACAGAUUUGAGAAUUAUUUGAUUUUUAGGGGCGUUUUGGUCAUUCCCCCUCACCCAAAAUCCAUCCAAACCCUAUAUUAAAGCCUAUUAUAAGCAUUAUAUGUUAUAUUUCAUCAAAUUCCCUCAAAAAGAAAACCCUAAGCUCCUACAUCCAACUUCAAGAACCUCCAAAGUUCACCAUUAAUUCUGCAAAUUUAUUCAAGAUUCCAAGUUCCUAGUUCAAGAACUCCAAGAACCAUCAUUCAAAGGAACAACUAAUAUCUCAAAAAUGAGUAUCGAUCUAAAGUUCAUCAUUCAAGGUAUGUGGGGUUUUUCAACAAGAACUCUCUUUCGUUCUUGUGCCCAAAAGUAAUUUUCUUUACAAAGGCAUGAUUUUUAUUUGAUUUUUACGAAUUUGAAGCAUGAACCCAUAUCUUAUGAUGAUUAUUAUGAAAUCUUGAUGUUUAUGAUUUUGAAAGAUGAAUUUACAUGUGUGGAGAUAUAAAGCAUGAAUCUUAAACGAUAUUUAUCAUGAUUUUGAUAUUUGGGUCGUGAAUUCCCGUUGGAAAUUGUGUUUUUUUAAGAAAGUGCUUGUUAUAAGCACGUUGAUGUUGAAUAUUUAAAAUAUUUUGAAUGAUUUGACCUUUUGGUCUUAAUGGAGUUGUUUUGAACUCGAGUGUGAAAGAAAUCCACAACGUGGUUGAUUUUGAUAGAUGGGAAGCAUGAUGGCUCCUGAUGUAUAUUUAUAUAUUACUGAAAUUGUUUUGUUGUGGAUUAUCUUUGAAAUGAUCUGAGCUAAGUCCGAAAAAAAUCUUUAGCAUCGAGUGGGAGGUAUAAAGAGACCUUACUUCCCUAGAACUACGUGCCCCUGUAGGAGUGAGCCUGAGGCUGAUUUAUAUAGUGAUCACUAGUUUGUGUGGAUUUGAUAUCGAUAGUCCUACUCCGAUAGCAAGGAUAGGACGGAUCUCCCCAUCAUGGGUUGUACGUUGGACUCCAUGUAGCUUACAUGGUUUAGGUCGGUUAUAGGAUCUCCCAGUGUGUAUGUGUUUCCUUAUGUCUAUGGUGAAUGGUGAAGUGAUUUUAUCGGGCACGCUAUUCUACAUCCUCUAUUGUGGUGAGUCCUCAUGUUCUGAGGACGUGAUGUCUGAUGUUGGUUUCACGGAAUUGUUUACAUUUGAUAACUGAGUAUGAUUCAGUUGGGGCAUGUCUCAAUGGCUUGCUGGUUUUAUUGAUUUUCUUAGAGGCUUGUUAGACUAGUAUAGAUUUUGAGAGUUGACUAAUAAUUUAUGAUGAUGAUGUUUAUACAACUGCAUACACCCCUAUAUACUCGGUUUCUUUCCAUGGUACUGACCCACAUCUUUGAAUGUGGACUGCAUUUUCUCCGAAUAUAGAUUCAGGUGCUUAGUUCCAAGUUCGACAGUGAUUCUUUGGGCACGUUGUUCUACAUUCUCUGCUGUGGUGAGUCCUCAUGUUCUGAGGACGUGAUGUUUGAUGUUGGUUUCACAGAAUUGUUUACAUUUGAUAACUGAGUAUGAUUCAGUUGAGGCAUGUCUCAAUGGCUCGCUGGUUUUAUUAAUUUUCUUAGAGUCUUGUCAAACUAGUAUAGAUGUUGGGAGUUGACUAAUAAGUCGUAUUUUGUUAUCUUUCUGAAAUUCUUUUAUUCUUGGAUGAUGAUUACUCUGUUGAUAUUUGAGGGUUAUUUAUAGAAACCCCGUUGAUUUGUAUUGAACUGAAUGAAAAUGGCUCAAAGGGUUAUCUUGGGGCUACUCAUAGCCUCAAGCACCGUGUGACGUUCCAGUACCCAUUUUUCGGGGCGUUACAAUAUGUUUUAAGAUCUUUUUUUAUUUCAAAGUAAUUUAGGUAUUAGCUUGACAAUAAGGUAAUAAGAAUUGCUUCAACUAAAAGUGAUCGAUCGAUGACCUAGGUAGGGAGAAAUGCAAUACUAAUAUUAUCUAAUUGCCAAAAGACUCAAUUAGGCACUAUCUUGACAAUGGGAUAAUAAGAAUUACUUCAACUCAAAGUGGUCGAUCAACGACUCAGGUCAGGAGAAACGCAAUACCAACAUCAUGCAAUUGCCAAAGACUCAAUUAAAGUUGUAGUUGAACAUAUGAACUCAAUUGAAAUUGUAUAAAAACAAAUGUUCAACCCAUUGUAACAGAUGACUUAUCUAUUGGAAUUUAUCAAAUUGAUUAACUCAUUUGUUACAAUAGAUUAACUAUAGGUUAUACUUUAUCAAUAGGGUGUUACCAUCUGUUGCGACAGAUGACCGAGGCAUUAGAAAUUUUCAUAUAGAAAUUGUCAUCUGUUGCAAAGUAUGACUUAUAUGUUUUAAGAUCUUUUUUUAAUUUGAAAGUAAUUUUCUAAUUUCCUGUCUGAGAUAAAAAAUAUAAACUACUAAGGCGGUAAAAAAUAUAACUUGGAUAACUCAAAAAACUCCUCAUUGAGUAGUCUUAUCAUGUCUUUUCAAUGUCGAUGUCUCCUCGUGCCCCUCAAAGUUAUUGAUGAAUAUUUAAAACCCCUAUCUAGAAUUCUCCCACCUUAAGCCAUAAAUCAACUCAAUUAUCUCUCUUUUUUAUUCAGAAUUCUCUUUCUCUCUUUUUUGGGAUAAUGACAAUCGUGUCCUUUUUUCCUCUCCUUUCUCUUCUCUUUUAGAUGAGGAUCCUUUUGGAUCUCAAUCAAUCAAUAUAUUUUCUCGACUGAAAUGGUUUUUUUUAUCCUUUUACUUUUUUGAUAUUGCAGGUAUGGUUCACUAUUGCUCUUUUCUUCUCGUCUUCCUUUUUGUAUGUUAUUUAAAAUAGAUAUUUACAUCUGUAGUUAUUAUUGAUUUAUCCAUUAUCAAUUUCCUAUUUAUUGAGAAAAUUGAAAGAAAUGUGACUUUGGUGGUGGGGGUGGUGGUGUUGUUGGAACAUGUGGUGCUUUUGUUGUUGAUGGUGUUGGAACAUAUAAUGUUGUUUCUUUGUUGUUGAUACUAUUGUUGAUGUUGGUGGUGGUUUUGCAACAGUUUUCUCAACUAUUGCAACUAACAAAUCAACUGUUGGAAUUGACAAAGUAACUAUUGGAAAAAAUCAAACCAGUAGCAAGGCUGGUUUGAUUUAUUCCAACAGAUGACCCAUCUGUUGUAAUAUGUCAUCUAUCUGUUGCCAUAGAUGAGUUGCUUGUUACAAAAGAUGACUCAUCGAUUGAAUAAAUAGGGAAUCUAUUACAUCAGAUGGGUCAUUUGUUGAUUUAUUCAAUUUUGUGUUACCCUUUUGUAAUGUUCUUUUUGUUCUUAUCUUGUUUGACAUCAAAUGUUUUUCUCUUGUUUACAGAUAAAAGAAAGUGAAACUGGAUCAACUUUUGCCCAACCAGCAUUAAAGGCUAGAGUAAAGAUAGGGUCGGAGGAAUAAGCUGCUUGCAAAUGGAACCACUUCAUAUGAGGGAGGUACGUGUUACUAAUCGACCUAUCGUGAAAACACACAUCCAGUACACUAAUUUUGUGAAUGUUGGUUCUUUACCUAUUAAGAGUUAAUCUUUCAAACAAGAUAUGGCAUUUUGUAGUUAAGAUUGUUAGGUUCGAACUGGUAAGGCUGAGGGACCAAGUAGGUGGUGUCGAUACCCUAUUACGGUUUAACGAAGAUUUUUCUAAUGUUUAUGUGGCAAAUUUGGAGAAGGGUUCAAGUUUUUGGUGGCAGUGUAAACAUUCAAAUAGUGAUUGGACUGAUUUUAAGGGUUCAAUGGACUUUUAAAAGGCCUAUGAAGCCUCGCACUACUGGAAACAAGAAUGGAAAUGAAUAUAAUUAUUGCUCAAGUCCAAAUUUAUAUGGAUGGGUUGCUCGAGGAGACUAUUAUACAACAUAAUGUGAUUGGAAGAAUACCUGUGAGGAAAGGGGGAGAUGGAGAAGAUCAUAUAUCAACUUAGACCUUAUUAAAGAAGAAACACAGGGUAGAAAGGAAAGUGUAGCAAAACUAGCUGAUGAAAUUGACAUGAAAAUGAAAAAAAUUGAAUGAGCUACAAAUGUGAAAGUGCAUCCAAAAAUGAAACCAUCAGUCCAUUUUGAAAAGAAAAAUGCUAAAGUAGAUUGGAGCUGUGCACUUUGUCAGGGGAUUGCAACUAGCUAGUGUGGCCUGAAUGAAGACCUACAAAAUUCAGGACCAAAACUCUAAGGUUUCAGCUUCGCGAGAACCGAUGAUAGUAAUAUUGUCGAUCAGGAAUGAAACUUAAACUAACAACUCCCGAAGUAAAAAUAAGGUAUCAAACAAAGGUGGCAAUUUCUCAAGUUAAACUUACAUCCCAUGCCUCUUUUUUAUGGCUAUGGUCUGGUCAAAGGCAGUGGAAACAACAAGGCAUGGGAUUUCUACCCAAAUUCAGAUCUUUUUGUUUCUACUGACAUUGACCUGAUCAGAACCACAAACAAAAGACAUGGAAUGCAAGUUAGACUUUAAAAAUUGACGCCUUGGCUUUCCUUAUUUUUACUUCUGGAGUUGUUGGUUCAGGUUUCAUUCUUAACUGAAAAUCUUACCAAUUCUCUGUGAUCUCUAAGCUGCUUCCUUAGAGUUAUGGUCCUGCACUUUGUGGGUCUUCAUUGAGGCCACUCUCUCUAGUCGCAGUCCCUAGCAAAGUGUCUAGCUCCAGUCCUCUAGAGCUUUUUUUUUUCAAGAACAACUGACGGAUUUUAAUAGGUAGAUACACUUCCAUAUUUGAAGCUAAUUUGGUUUUUUGAUCUCUCAAGCCAAUUUCAUUGGUCAGAUUCGCUAGAAGUUCCUUACUUGCUUCCUUGUGUUUUCUCUUAAACAAGGUUUGAGAUGAUAUAUGGUCUUCUCCACCUCCUCCUUCCUGCACAAGUAUUCUCCCAAGCACCUUCUACUAUAUUAUAAUCUCCUCGAGCAACCCAUCCAUAUAAAUUUGGACCAGAAGAAUUUCUAUUGGCUUUCCAUUCUUGUUUCCUAUAGUGCAAGGCUUCGAAGUCCUUUCAAAAGUCCAUUGCACCAUUAAAACUGGUCCAAUCAGUAUUGGAUAUUUACACUGCCGCCAAAACUUGAACCCUUCUCCAAACUUGACAUAUAAACAUGAGCAAAAUCAUCAUUAAAUUAUAACAGCUUAUCGACACCAUCAUCUUGGAACCCUUUAGCCUUAUCAGUUUGCACCGAUCAAACUAAACUAUAAAAUACAAAAUCUUGUUCGAAGGAUCAAUUCUAAUUGAUAAAAAACUAAAUUCACAAAAUUAUUGUACUUUAUGUAUGUCUGUCACGAUAGCCUAAUCAAUAAUACAUAACUCCCAUGUAUGAAAGUAGAUCCAUUCAUCUGCACACACCUUAUUCUUCCUACCCCAUCAAUGUCAGACAGUGUUUAUUGUUCACUUUCCAUCGUUAAUCUUCAAUUUUAUAUGACUAUUUGUCUGUCAAGAAAAAAACAAGUGCUACAAGUCGUGACUUUUCACCUUUUUUAUUUUUAAAUAUGUUUAUAUAAUAAGUCACCAAUUUGGAUUAAUUAAGGUAUGUAAUGACUAUUAAAAAAGAGGUGGAGAGUCGUGAAUUUUUGUCUAACGCAUAUAAAAUAGUUGAUGAAUCAAAUCCCCCAUCUGUUUCAAUUUAUGAAUCAACUAUUAGAAGAAAUAAAAACAUCUCCUCCAAUAGAAGGUCCACCUUUCAUAACAGAUAAUACAUAUGUUGCAAUAGAUGUCUCAUCUAUCUGUAGCACAUACGAACCAUCUGUUGUAACAGAUGGUAAACCUGUUAUGCCAACAAGUUAUCUGUUAUGACAAAUGGACGAUCUGUUGCAACAGCUCAAUAAUAACUAUUUCUAUUAAGUCUCAAACUAUUUUGAAAAGGUGAUAAUUUUGAAUGUAAAAAAAAAGUCACGACUUUUCACAGAAAAUAAAAAGCCAAUAGUUUGAAUAUAAUUAAUACAAUGGAGCUGAACAGUCGUGUCUUUAUGCCUAACACAUUCAAAUUUAAUCCUCUAUAAAUAGGUCCCUCCUUAAUCUUCAUUCUACUCCACUUUUAUUUAUUUCUUACAUUUUAUCUUUUCGUAUUACAUCUUUAAUCACUUCUAUUCAAAGAGCAUAUUCCUUUCUCGUUGAGGUAAGUUUUUUCUAUGUAAAUCUACCAGUUGGUAGUAUACGUUGCAUUACAUUUAAACUUUUUUCUUUACUUUUGUGUUUAUGUUUUUUGUCAAUUCAUGCGUGUUCUAGAUAUGGCUGAUCCUGUUUGGGACAUUGCUAUUCUACGCGAUACCAUGCGAAAACUUCAGAGGUAGGUUAACGACUUGCAAAAAGAGUUGGUCGCCGUGAAAGCAAGGAUGUUCAAAGAGAUGCAGAGGUUGAUGAGGGCCUUGCUGCUGCCGGAUGACGAUUGGCCGGCUGGCAAUAAUAAUGAUGAUAAUAAUAAUUAGAAUGUAUUUUUUCUUUUAACGUAUGUAUUUUAAUUUUUCUAUAUUGGAUCUAUACCUAAUAUAUUUUAUUUUUUGCUUAAUGAAAAAAUUAUGUUUGAUCGACUUUAGCUUUUUAAUUCUUAUUUAAUUUUAAUUUUGUCUAUUUCUUCUUCUAAACAUAUUAACAAGUCGACAGUUGGAGGUACGGAGAAAUUUUGAAUCUACUAGCAAUAAUAAUUUUGGCUUUUUAGUUCUUUCAAUAGAUGGACCAUGUGUUGGAACAGAUUGAUCAUCGGUUGGGUUUAUGUCAAUAGAUUAUUCAUUUGUUGCAACAGAUUUGUCAUCUGUUGGAGGAAAAUAUUUUAGUUUGAUGAAUUAUAUUGUGUUCUUCUAUAUAAUGUCCAUUUGUUGCAACAGAUGAGUAAUUUAUUGAAAAUAAUUUUGUGGUCUACUGUAUUUAGUUCAUGUUUUGCCUUUUUUUUAUUGAUGCACAAGUUAUUAAAAAAGAUAUUUUAUAUAAUAAAUGAUAACAUUUACAUUCACAGCAACGAUUUAAAUAUAUAAAAGUUCAUUACAAACAACAACACAAGUUUUUGCAAUUACAACGAUCAUGGUGGAUUACGAUCCGGGCAUGUAGUUCUUUUGUGGCCAGUGCUCUUACAUACGAAGCACUUGUUUCUUCUUUAUAGAAAUGAUUCUCCGACUCCACUCCUCCGCUUAUAUGGCCUUCUUCCCGAUUUGAUAGUGCUUGGGUCAAUAUAUGGAGGAGGUAUUAAUCUCUCUAAAAGCUCUGCAGGAACAACCCAAGAUUCUUCGGGAGGCACUGGAGUAAUAUGCCCACUAUAUGCCAUUGUAUAUUUUUUUAUCAAAUAAUAUGGAGAGGAGUACUCAUAAAUUUUAGUUCCAUAUUUUGCACCGUAUUGAGAUUGAAGUGCUGCCAUAGCAUGUGGUAAGGGUAUUUUGUCCAAGUCAAAAACUCUACACGUACAAAAUCUUGUUUGAAGAUCGACUAUGGCAACAUCACCAUGACCCUUGAUAUUGAACUUAUAAUCUGCUAUUUGAUGAGACAAUAACCUAUUCCCCAGACUGAUGUUCAUUGAUAUUAUUUUUUUGCUUCUAGAACAAAUGGGGUUCCUGGGUCCUCGUACUCCACACGUCUUUCAUAAAAAAAUUGGCCACACUUCUUGUUUAUUAUUUCAAAUAGAGCCUUGAUGGGAAAUUCUCUUUCAUCACCAAAAAAUGAAUUCACCGAUUAAGCUAUGUUUAAAGUCAUAAUAUUGUACCUAUACAAAAGAAUCACUUAGUACGACAUCAUACUAAACUUGUAACUCAAACAAGACAUUAAAUUCAUAAGAAUGUACCUAUUUGCUGGAUAAAAUGCCCGACUCCAUCUCUCAAAACUGACAUGUAUGAGAUGUUCUGCUGCCUUGGGAUGCAUAUCCGUUAUUUGAUUAAAAUGGUUCAAAAACUCCUCUCUACUAUAUGCUUUAGGUGCUCUAUAAAAAAGGGUCACGGCCCUUUGUUGUGAAAGAUGGUCUGAAUGUUCUCUCCAAGAUGCCUGAUGCAACAACCAAAGUAAGCUAAAGUGAAGAAAAUUGAACCCAUCUUUGGAAUACUUGGAUGCCUAUCCGAAAUAAAACACAACUCUUCGGUAUCUUCAACACAUUUUCGCAGUUGUUCAAAAAAAAUCCAUAAGAGGUAUCACAUUCCUUGAAAGCGAUAGGAAAGAUGUGAUUCUCCGCAUCCUGCACCAUUGCUGCUAACAGAACUCCAUUAUACCUGCUCCUCAAGAAAGUAUCAUUGACGGCUAUGCCUUUUCUCAAGUGUCAAAAACCUUGAAUCCAAGCACCAUAGGAUACGAAAAAGUACUUGAACCUUCUGGUUUCAUCAACAUGCAAUGCUUUCUUACUUUCGGGAUAUAUGGACUCAAGCAUGUAACGGUAGUCAUCGAGGACUGUAUACCUAUGCUUGUGUGUCCCUCUAACCAAGUCCUUGGAAAUCCCCAUGGCUGUAUAUAUCUUACAAUAACUGAACAGGACACCCAAUUUGUAAUGCCCAAAUUUUUUAGAACCGGAAUGCCACACGGUUCUCAUGAUCCCAAAGAACCACAAGCUAACCCUUUUCUGAUAUCUGUACCUGAGCACUGCAUAACAUACUGGAAUAAAUGCAAAAAAAUGGCAAAAACUUUCCAUAAGGUUUAAAUAUCUAAAAAUACUCAAUACUGAAAAUUAAAUACUAAUAUAUCUGUCUGAAAAGCCUCUAAACUUAUCUGAGCUGUGGAGUUGAUGGGACAUGUACCCGACUAACUCUGUCUACUGAAAAUAAACUGAGUCUAAUGCCAUAGUAAAAUAAGGAUCAUCCUCAAAUGAAGAGGACUCACUGUUACAUCUACUGUUGCUGACUAAGUCUGGACUGCUAAGGGUGCUCUGGAUCUCGCACUUCGGAACCUAUGGUAUAAGACACCAUAGCGCAAGAGAAAAGUAUGUGUCAGUAUUUUGAAUGUACUGGUAUGCUAGAUGAGGUAAGGCUAAAUACAAGGCUUAUGCAUGAACAUAGCUUAAAUGAAUAACAUAAAAGUACUGAAUGAGGACAUAUGCAUGAAUGCACAAACCAAAACUGAAAUUGUAAUAACACUGAAUACGAACUCUAAAUACUGGUUUCUGAAUACUGACUUACUGAUGACUGAGUCUACUAGUACUGGUGUCUGAGUUUACUAAUACUGAGAGACAGAAUAACUGAGUUUAUUGAGAUUGAUGUCUAAUCUUGCUGAUACUGAUACUGAUUUAUUAUAGCUGAGAUCAAUCCUAUAUAACGGGUGACCUCUGAGUUUACUAGUAAUGAUGGUUGAUACUCGAUAAACUGAAUUUGAUAUCAAGCCUAUAUAACGGGUAACCUGUGAGUCUAAUGAUAAUGAAGAUGAUUGUCUGAAUUUGAGAUCAAGCCUAUAUAACGGGUGAUCUCUGAGUCUACUGAUAAUGAAUAUAAUUGUCUGAAUCUAAGAUCAAGCCUAUAUAAUGGGUGAUCUCUGAGUUUACUGAUAAUGAAUAUGAUUGUCUGAAUUUGAGAUCAAGGCUAUAUAAUGGGUGAUCUCUGAGAGGUAGUCAAGCCUAGUAUAACGGGUGACUCCUUAGCUGAAUUCUAUUACUGAGACUGAAUCUGAAACUGAGAUUAUGGGAGAUAGUCAUCUAACUGACAUGCCCCUUUUAGCUUCUUUGGGGUCCAACUUGUAACCCCAGUUGGAAGGGUAUCAAUACUGUGCCACGGGUAAAAACACUUCUCUCUGAACCCAGGAUGCCAUGCCUAAUAUAACGGUUGACAACUGGUUGGAUCCAAGCCUAAUAUCACGGGUGACUCAGAGGAGGUAGUCAAGCCUAAUAUGAUGGGUUACUCCUCAUCCUACAUUGGCUACGCAGUUCUAGAGUGCAGAGAUUGUUAUCAAUGACUUUGCUUAAAAUAACGGGGAAGCUGUCAUCUAUGCCCUCGCUCGAUGCUGAAUCCUACUCCCAACUAAAUAGACACUGAACUGAUUCCUAGACUGUUUUAGACUGAGCUGAUUCUGUUACUAGUCAUCUUGCUUGACUGAGCUGAUUAAAUUUACUUAGUUCCGUUAUCGGACGGAAUGCUACUGAAUUCUUGUUAGCUUACUGAGUUUCACUGAAGUCUGAACUGUAUACUAGAUACUACUGACUACUAUUGAAUUGGAACUGAAUACUGAGUUGGAUUAGACUGAUACUGAGACUGAAUUGAACUAGUACUGAAGUCUUCUACACUUUCUUGACAUAAACACAUCACCUAACAUGCAACUUGAAGAGGGUUUAUCAUGAAUAUCACAUGAAAUCACAUACUAGGAUCAAAGCUUGAAACUUUGUAGACAAAACAUGAAUUAAAACUCAAUAAUAACAUGAACUUCAAUUUCAAUUCACAUGAAUCAUGAAAACUCAUAAAUAUAAGAUCAUUGAAUUUAGAAAAGGAUUCUUGAACUUCUUGGGUGGAAGGAACCCAAGAAUCAACAUCUGUAUACCUUAGAAGACUCUUUCUUAAAGGUUCUUGAAGAAGUCCUUAGGCUUGUUCUUGAUUUCUUGGCAAGGGUUCUUGACUUUUUUGAGAGAGAAAAUAUUUUGAUUUGGGGAAAAUUGAUGAAUAAAGAAGUAUUCUCGUUAUUUAGGGUAUAAAUCCCUUAUAUAGACUGAUUUGGGGCUUUAGGAAAUUACCAAUUGGUCUCUGAAAUUUAAAAACGGAAUCUGAAAAUCCCGAUUUUCACAUGCUGGCUCGACGUGCCAUAAUCGCGCUAGCUUACUGGAAAUUGGAAAAUUGGGAAACUGAUCCUUGGCGCGAUACGGUGAAAAUUGUGUUGCCACCUUGGUUGCGAACUGGAAAGCCACCACGAUGCAGUGGAAUCUCGGAGGCUUACUGGAUUUUGACAAUUGUCAUUUUGGCUUGCUUCGCGACGCGCUAAAGUACCAGGUGGUACACUGUCUCACUAAAAUAGCUCUAACUCUUCGCCCGAGUGUCGGAUUUGGGCGAAUUUGGUAUCGAUGGAAAGCUUAUUCGAUUUCCCAUGGGAUAAAAAAUUAAAAUCUUAAAAAUUUCAUAUUGAAUAAAAUAUAUUCAUCUUUGAAGAAAGAUAUUUGAUGUUCUAGAGAUGAAUUUAAACUAGGAGAAGGGUGGGGUAUUACACAAUUCUGUAUGGAGGUGAUUGGCCAUAACCCUUGUAGAAGGGCCUUUGCCAUCGGGGAAUAUAUUCUUGAAAUAUUCACCGAGGACCUUUGCUGCGGCAUGAGGAUUUUGGCCCAAAAUAUUCUCCGAACCACAUGUGUGAUACUUUUUCAUGUUUAUAAAUAACGAAUUUGUCAGAACGUAAGUAUUUCGCCGCUCUCAACCACCACUUGCAGUUCAGAUUAGCACAUUUGUAGCAAAAGACUUUGCUUGAAUUAAUCACCGUCAUUAUUCUGAAAUCUUUUUUCAAGCAAGAAAUAAACAAAGUAGUAGAUAGUUCUUUCUUGUCCUUGAAUGACAUUUCCUUGUAAAAGGCGGUCUUGACAAUUUCCAGACUGUGUCGAUCGAGAAAAACUACCCGCCAUAUUGGUUGCAUCAACAGGCGUAGGUGUUUGAUCAUCAUCUAGAAUGUUCAUGUCUAGAUCAUCCAACCUAUCAUCAAAGAUGUCAUGUUGUUGUUCUUGUUUUACAUUCUGGUUCUCAUUCUCUCUUAUCUUUUCAACCACGUACACCUUUAACACCGGCCUGGAUGAAUCACUAAGAUAAGCACAUAACCAAACUUGAACGGUUAUCUUGAAAGGUAGUACCCUCUGAUUUUCAAAGGAGUUAUGCAUGUAGCUGAUGGCGAGUUCUUCCAGUUGACAAUUCAGUCCACAAUAGCUGAUGAUUAAGUUCACAAAAUCAUCAUAAGAAAUAUCACUUUGGACUGUCAUAGCUAUUGUCUCUAGUAUUUCACCCUCCUUCCAGCACCAUAUAUAUCAAUUUCUCUUCUCGAUCCAUUGACCAUGACAAUCCACCCCUAUUGUUAUUGAUCCUUCCAUUAAUGGUACCUAAAUAAAGUCAUUUAUUAAAAAAAAUUAAUAAUGGUUUCAUAGUGUCGUAAAAUGAAUCCCAACAGAUGUGUAAUCUGUUGCGACAGGUAAGUGAAUAAUCGCAACAGAUUACUUACCUGUUGGGAUUCAUGUUACGCUCCUGAAGCUGAUUUCAACGGACGAAUCAUCUGUUGUAACAAGUGAAUCAUAUGUUGCAACAGACUAUACAUCUGUUUCAACAGACGAUGUAUCUGUUAGAAUGGAGUACAGGUACUGUUGCAACAGGUUGUUAAUCUAUUAUAACAGAUAUUUACCUUGUUGCAACAAUCCACACAUCUGUGGAAAUCGAGUUUAGGUUCUAUUGCAACAGGUUACUAAUCUGUCGCAACAGAUAUUUACCCUAUUGCAACAGAUAACUAGUAUGUUGCAAUAGAUGACUCAUCUAUUCGAUCCAUAUUAUGGCACUAUAGAACCAUAAACAUGAAUCCAACAUAUGUCUUCUUUUGCAACAGAUGGCUCAUCUGUCGCAGCAGAUGAUUGAUCUGUUUAAACAGAUAUCUUUUGUGUUGCAUUCAUGUUCGCGUGCUAUCCAUUGUUGCAAAAACAGCACAAUGACAGUUAGCCAGAUGGCGAAUUCAACUAAAAAUCAUAAUUUGACUUACCAAAGUCUCCUGUGAAGUAAUGCCAAAGUGGAAAGUAAUGUAUGAAAUAAAAUUUGACCUAAGAAAUUGGUCAAAUAGCAGCAGUAGCGGUAACAACAACAACAACAAUGGUCAACAAAAAGAAGAUGAAGAUGAUAAUAAAGUAGAAAAUAAUAAUAAUGCAGCAGAAGAUGGUGAAUAAAGCAGCAGCAAAAAUGAACAACAAAAAUCACUAAGAGAGAGAAAAUAAUAAUGAAUGAGAAAAGAGAGAAACACGUCCUUUUUCCCUCUGUUUCUCAUUAUAUUAAGUAAACAUUUGAAUCAAAGUGUAAAUUUAAAAACUUGUGGGUUAUUCUCAAACUUACCCAACUUUCUUAAUCCAUAAUAAAGUAAUUGUCACUUACACUCAAUUAUUAAGACUUGAGUCACCUACACCUCAUUUUCAAAUUCUUUUGUCACUUUUAGCUCAAAGGCCCGUUAAACAGCCUAUAAUUUAACUAUUCUUCACGUUAAAGAAAAUAUUCUACCCUACCCAAUUUUUAAAAUCGACCCAAUUAUUAAGACUUAGUAAACCCAACUCUUUUGGUUCACUUAUAGUGUCACGCCUCAAAUCCUAUUGGGGCGGAUUGGCACCCGUAACCGAGGAGGCCCGGGAGAACCAGCUCAUAACCUUAUACUUCCCAUGCAUACCUCUAUGACAACCCAAAAUUCGGACAGCAUCAUAUCGUAUAUAAAAGGAAAUAAUCACCUGUAUAUGCUCGAGCACAAUACUUGGCCAUUGGAGCUAUCACGUCUAUUAACAAAACACCACCUUGACUGUACAUUAGUUCUACAAAGCCUCUAGACAUUACACAGAGUUUAACUAAGGUCGGGACACCCCCCGCCAUAUAACUAACUUCUAUACAAUACCAAAAGUGACUGGAUAUGACACGGAAAGCCCCGAAGCAAACUGGAGCUCACCAAAAGCAGCUGGAUAUCCUGGCUCCUACUUGUGUAGUGUAUGGCUGAGGUACCUGUGCCUGCAGCAUAAAAUGCAGGUCCUCCAUGGGGGACGUCAGUACGAAAUAUGUACUAUGUAUGUAAGGCUGUAGAUAAUCACAUAUGAUAUAGGAGCUCAAUAGAAAUCAGAAACAAGUGAAUAAAUCGUAAUAGGAGUGGACCACACUUAUUAGAACUUGUGACAACCUGUACAUUGUAUUUAUUCAAUCACUUUACCUUCGUUCUUAUUAUCUUUGUAAUCAUUACUGUACUAUACUAUGACCAUUAGACUGCCUCCAGUAUAUAUCAAUUGGGAUUGACCCAUGAUAGGCUUAUGCCCCUGGGAUACCACCCAUAAACACAUAAAUAGGCAUCGACCCAUGAUAGGCUUAUGCCCCUGGGAUACCACCCGAUAAGAGAGAACUUCCAUCACUUAGUUCAAUUAAUCUUUGAGAUUGUUAUUUCGGUCGCCACCACAUUUUUUAUACUUUGAAACAAUGAUACAUNNNNNNNNNNNNNNNNNNNNNNNNNNNNNNNNNNNNNNNNNNNNNNNNNNNNNNNNNNNNNNNNNNNNNNNNNNNNNNNNNNNNNNNNNNNNNNNNNNNNNNNNNNNNNNNNNNNNNNNNNNNNNNNNNNNNNNNNNNNNNNNNNNNNNNNNNNNNNNNNNNNNNNNNNNNNNNNNNNNNNNNNNNNNNNNNNNNNNNNNNNNNNNNNNNNNNNNNNNNNNNNNNNNNNNNNNNNNNNNNNNNNNNNNNNNNNNNNNNNNNNNNNNNNNNNNNNNNNNNNNNNNNNNNNNNNNNNNNNNNNNNNNNNNNNNNNNNNNNNNNNNNNNNNNNNNNNNNNNNNNNNNNNNNNNNNNNNNNNNNNNNNNNNNNNNNNNNNNNNNNNNNNNNNNNNNNNNNNNNNNNNNNNNNNNNNNNNNNNNNNNNNNNNNNNNNNNNNNNNNNNNNNNNNNNNNNNNNNNNNNNNNNNNNNNNNNNNNNNNNNNNNNNNNNNNNNNNNNNNNNNNNNNNNNNNNNNNNNNNNNNNNNNNNNNNNNNNNNNNNNNNNNNNNNNNNNNNNNNNNNNNNNNNNNNNNNNNNNNNNNNNNNNNNNNNNNNNNNNNNNNNNNNNNNNNNNNNNNNNNNNNNNNNNNNNNNNNNNNNNNNNNNNNNNNNNNNNNNNNNNNNNNNNNNNNNNNNNNNNNNNNNNNNNNNNNNNNNNNNNNNNNNNNNNNNNNNNNNNNNNNNNNNNNNNNNNNNNNNNNNNNNNNNNNNNNNNNNNNNNNNNNNNNNNNNNNNNNNNNNNNNNNNNNNNNNNNNNNNNNNNNNNNNNNNNNNNNNNNNNNNNNNNNNNNNNNNNNNNNNNNNNNNNNNNNNNNNNNNNNNNNNNNNNNNNNNNNNNNNNNNNNNNNNNNNNNNNNNNNNNNNNNNNNNNNNNNNNNNNNNNNNNNNNNNNNNNNNNNNNNNNNNNNNNNNNNNNNNNNNNNNNNNNNNNNNNNNNNNNNNNNNNNNNNNNNNNNNNNNNNNNNNNNNNNNNNNNNNNNNNNNNNNNNNNNNNNNNNNNNNNNNNNNNNNNNNNNNNNNNNNNNNNNNNNNNNNNNNNNNNNNNNNNNNNNNNNNNNNNNNNNNNNNNNNNNNNNNNNNNNNNNNNNNNNNNNNNNNNNNNNNNNNNNNNNNNNNNNNNNNNNNNNNNNNNNNNNNNNNNNNNNNNNNNNNNNNNNNNNNNNNNNNNNNNNNNNNNNNNNNNNNNNNNNNNNNNNNNNNNNNNNNNNNNNNNNNNNNNNNNNNNNNNNNNNNNNNNNNNNNNNNNNNNNNNNNNNNNNNUGACCCUAAAAAUCUAUUUUGAUAGGCUGAAGUAAAACGAGUAUAACUCCUUACUCAGAAAUUGGAUUUGGAUGAAACCAAUUGCAUUGGAAAGAAGACUCAAAGAUCUUUCUUUUCAUAUGUUGCAGCUCUCCCAGUUCAUUAUAUUAAGGGAGUUAUGAUCGUUCGAAAUUGACCCAAAAAUUCGGUUGGCCUCAGUAGUUUGUGUGCAAGAAACUUUCCAGUACAUUUACUAUUCCCAAAUAUCCUGGCCACCGUUUUAUAGUUUCGAACGUGCUCGAUUAUAUCCGAAACCUAUCCAUUUUUGGAAAUCUUUAUACCGUUGGAAAGCUUAUUCAAUAACCUUCGCAUGGAACCAUCGACGGGCAAAUUCCGGUAUAAAUAAAAUAAAAAAAUUAAUUCCAUAUAAAUAAGAAUAAUACACGUACUUGAAUACGGGUGUUACAUAUAGCCUAUUUGGCAAUCUUAUUUUUUAAAAAAGUAUUUUUUAAAAAAAAAUGCUUUUUUUUUUUCAAAACUCGUUUGACCAAGUUUUGGAGAGAAGAUUAAUAUUUUUGGAGAUUAGCAAAUGUUGUUUUUUCAUAGGCUAAAAUAAUAUUUUUAAAAAAUAUAUAUACUUUUGUUAAAAAUAUACUUAAAAACACUUUUUAAAAAUUUGGUCACACGAUAAUUGUUGUUCAAAGAUAUUUUUUAAAGGUAUUGGGAAAUACAAACUGCUUCUCAUCAAAUGUAUUUUUUUUAAAAAAAUACUUUUCAAAAUAUGAUGAUUUUAGAAAUUUUUUCGUUUCACAUACUUUUUUUUAGUCCGCUUCAAAAAAUUUCGCAUUAUCAUAACUACAACAACAAACCCAGUGUAUUCCCACCUAGUGGGGUCUGGGGGGUAAGAUGUACGCAGUUCAUACCUCUUCAAAAUUUUCCUUUUAACCUUUAUAAAACAAUUUACAAUCAUAUAAAUAUCUAAAAAAUAAAUUUAAUUAAAAAAUUUAAUAAUUAUAUCAAGUUAAAGAAUACCCCAUAAAGUAAAAUGAAGAAUAUUAUUUUACUUCACAACAACAACAUAUCUUGUGUAUUCCUACAUAAUAGGGUCUGGAAAGGAUAAAGUAUACGCAGACCAUAUCUCAACCUCAGGUGAACUAGAAAGAUUGUUUUCGAUAGACUCCGACUUAGAACCGAUAGUAAUAUAACAAAUAUAAAAUAUAAAUAUAUAUAAAUUAAUACAGUAUAUAAAAUAAACUAACACCACUAAUUAUGAGAUAAUGCAUCACAAAUUUUAUUUUUAUUUUUUUUAAGUGCAUGACAAGUGAAACUACCCAUGACAUGAAUUGGGACAAGGGAGGAAAAAAUUAAGAAACAUUGGUUUUCAAAGUAAAGAGAGCACCAAGUCGACCAAGUUAAGAGAUUGAAAAGGCACCCUUUUGGGAGAAAAGUAAAAGUCCUCCUCUUGCCCAAGUGAACAAACUGGCCAAUUUGAAUUGCUUAAUACAUGGCGGAAGCUUUCCUUCAAGUUGUGUUAGAAAAUCUCACUACUUUCCUCGAAGGAAAACUCGUACUGAUUUUCGGUUUCCAGAAGGAAUUUGAAAAACUCUCCAGCAUAUUUUCCACAAUCCAAGCUGUACUUGAAGAUGCUGAGGAGAAGCAAUUAAAGGGUAGCGCAAUACAAAAUUGGUUGCACAAACUCAAUGCUGCUGCCUAUCAAGUUGAUGACAUAUUAGAUGAAUGUAAAUAUGAGGCAACAAAAUUCAAGCAUUCCCGCUUAGGGAGUUAUCAUCCGGGGAUUAUCAGUUUCCGUCAUAAAAUUGGGAAAAGGAUGAAAGAGAUAAUGGAGAAACUAGAUUCCAUUGCGGAGGAAAGAAGCAAAUUUCAUUUGCACGAAAAAACGACCGAUAAACAAGCCUCCUCUACGCGUGAAACAGGUUUGAGUACUAGCUAACUUAACUAAUAGCUUAGUUUAUAUUCAAUUUAUUACCACAUUUUGUUUGUUUUGUGAAUUAAUGAUGAAAAAUGCAUCUACACUAUCACUCAAUUAUUCAUUGUUUCCUUUUCCUACAUAAACUACCAGUCCCUUUGUAUCAAAACACAUCUCAAUAUUGAGUUGUACGAGCUCCAUUUUAGUUUAAAAAGAGUGUAAGUGGCACUUCAGGUAGCUAAGUUUGUCUACCUAAUCUAAUUAGGGCUUUAUUAGUGAUUUUAAUACAAAAAUCAAAAUUAGGGUUCUAUAAUCAAAAUUAAGUGGGUAAAAGUGCUCAAAGCUUGAUUUUCCCACAUUAACCCUCAAUUUCAGCGUGAAUUUUCGUUUAAUUUUUUAUUUUGGUAAAAGAAAAAAAUAAAAUUGGGAUUCUUUAAAAUUGUAGGGUUGCAUAAAAUUCUAGGUUCAUGGAAUGAAGGACAAAGGGAAAGAAAAUAUGAGAAAUGAAGAAGAAGAAAGGGAAAGAAAAGAAGGAUUUAACGGAAGAUAGAAAAAAAAAAAGUUUUUCUUAAAAACUGAUUCAUCUAAAGUAUCUAUUAUAGAUGCCUUGUGGACCGAAUUUUUAUGGGUUCUUUUAAGCCCCUGCGAGUCUAUUAUUGAGUGAUUUCAAACAUUUGCUCAACUCAACAACUAGGUGUGUUUUGGUACAAAGGGUUGGCAGCUUAGGUAGAAAAGGGGAAUAAUGAAUAGUUGAGGUUUGGAACUCACAACAACAACAAACCCAGUGUGUUCCCGAGGUUUGGAACUCGGGAAAAAAAUAUUGUUUAGGUGUGUUGUUGCUUUAUUUUGCAAAGUUCUUUUGUAUUUCUUGCUGGCUCCUUUUAGUGAUAAGAGUACGAUCGUGAUUGUGGAUCAAUACGUAAAGAACUCGUGCUCGGGUGACUGACCAACUAAUGGAACAAGCUUUGGAGUGUUGGCUCAUUAAGGACAUUUUAGUCAUUUUGUAAUAAGUUGUAACCUAGGCUAUAAAUAGAACAUAUUAGGUCAUUUUCUCAUAACUUUGAUGAUAUUUUGAGAGCUCUAGAGAGAGAGUCUUGCAAGGUGGAUUCAAGUGUGGAUAUCACUUGUGUUGGUUCUAGUUUUGAAAUGUUGGUUGCUUGGGGAUCCCGUUCCCUUGAGGUCACUGUAGAGCUUGGUGUUACUUGUAUGAAUUCUUGGGUAUUUGUGUUUAAUAUACAUUAGGUUCAUAGUGUUUGUACAUUUGUAUGUCAAGUUACCUAUCUAUCUAUCUAUUUCAUUGUUGUUGUUGUUCAUUCUCGGGUUUGGUGUCCCAAAACCGAGACUGUGUUCUUCUUGUUUUUGUGCUUGUGUUGUUAAUCUAGUUUGUUGGCUCGCUGAUUUUUGAGGUGUUGAACACCUUAAUAUCUUGUUGUUAUUGUGUUUUUGUUGUUGUUGUAGUGAAUCCGAGAGUGGUCAUCAAAGGGGUCCUUGGUUCUUCCAACUUGUGGACUGUUUUGGUGUUUGUUUUGUGCCUCCUUUGUCGAUCUUGUAUCAUUUGGUAUCAGAGCAUGGCUUUAUUUUGUUUUAACAAGAUCAAUCUUGGGCUAGCUAGCUUAAAAAUACAAAACAAAAAAGGAAAGUGUAGAAGUUGUUCUUGUUCUUGGCCGAGACAUAUUUCUUUGUGGCUAGAUCUUGUAGUCUUUUGUUUGUUUAGAUUGUUUCUAGUGUUGGUUUCUUUCUCACCAACACUAAAGUGUCUAGAUCUAAAGGUUUGAGCUUAUGUUGUUGACCUUGUUAAUGUAAAUUGGAAGUUGGUUGUGUGUUGAUAUUGUUGAUCUUCGCCGUGUGUUGCAAUUGUUGUGAACUUGGAGGUGAAUGUUGGUGGUGUUCUUGAGAAAUUGUUGUUGAGAUCUUGUUGUUCUUCACAUCUUGACAUCUCUUAAUCAAUAUAAAGUAUAAUAUAGAUCCAAAAAAGGUGUAAGAUAAAGUUGAAAAGUUGUUGGUGAAGAGACUUGAACACAUCACUUCAAAGACUUGUCAACCACUUUUCCAUAUUUCAAGGACCUUGUUUUGUGGGAAUAGUAAAGUCAGUUCUCACUUUUUGAGUUGGAAUUUGAAAAAGUUUUGAAGAAUUGAAUUUUUCCACCAAAAGACAAACUCAUCCAUUCCACUUGUAUCAAAACAAAAGCUUCAAAUUGGUGAUUAAAAAAAAAAAUUGUGUGGGACCGUGACCAAUUACGUGGCUGCCACGUCAUCACAUUUUACUGUUCACGCAACAUAAGUAAGCUCGAAUUUUUUUAUUUCUUAGUUUCUAAUCUUUGUUUCUUAGUUGCAUUUUGUUGAUUCUAUUGCUAAUUAACAAACUAGUAAUUGUCUACUAGGUUGUAAAUUAGUUUUGGGUCAGUUUAUUCGUGUCUGUGUUUCUUUGUGUGCUUUUAUCUUUUUGAAAACUCGUUGUAGCGUUUUGAUUCAAGUACGUACAAAUUUAUUUUGAGUCGUUGCAAACAAAAAUCCAUUCCGACCUUAAGCCGCAAAUGGGACCAAGUAACUUCAUUGGAGUAGAAACAGUGUACCAACACUUGUGAGACCAAUUGAGUGAUACUUGAAAAAGUGUGAGCUUGAGAGUUAGUGAGGGUGAUUUUUGCUAACCUUAACUUGUUAUUGUUUGUGUUUUGUUUAGUAUUUCUUAUUAGGUACGAUGGCUUCGAUUGAAGGUAGUCCAAGAGCCUCGAGAGAGGUAACCAUAGAUGCUUUGUUGGCGGCCAUAAUGGCGUGAAACAUGAUCUUAGUGGUCGAAUGGAGAGGAUGGAGGGAAGGAUGGACGGGAUGGAGGGUUCCUUUUCAAGGAGAAUGGAUACAUUGGAAGUUCGUUUAGAUUCCAACCAUCCAAGUCCGAAACACUACCACGCCUCGACUAGUGGACAUUCUACCACCACGGAUACAUUUCCCCAAUUGCUCAAUCCACCUAGAGCAACCCAUGAACCCAUCCACUAAGUCCCUACUUAUCCAAAAAAAUCGAAGUCAAGUCCAUCAAGAAGCUUCCCAAAUUCGAGACCCCCUUGAUAUGCCGAGAGCACCACUAAACCAAAACCAACCAAUCCAAAUUGAUGAUGUGGAAAGUGAGGGUCUUUAUGGAGGUGAGAGGUUAGAUGAAGCAACUCUCUUUGCGGAAUUUGUGCGCAAUAGAAGAAGAGCUUAUGGUGGGGGACAUAGAGGCCGAGAGGGAAGAGUUGGACCGGCUACUCAUGGUAGGGGCAACUUGGGACACCGACCUCAUGUUCAAGAAGGUCUAGUAGACCAAGGAGGCAAUGUGGGUAGAAACACGGGCCUAAAUUCCAUUAAGAUCACUCUUCCUUCUUUCAAAGGGACUAGUGCUCCAUCUCUCUAUCUUGAUUGGGAGUUACAAUGUAAUCGGAUUUUCCAACUCAACGAGUUAACUUCCCAAAAGAAAGCCGCACAUGCCAUUGCUCAAUUUGAAGGUUAUGCAUCUACUUGGUGGGAGACAACGCGAUUGCAACAGGCAAGGAAUGACAAUCUUGACCUUCCGGAUUGAGAUGAAUUGAAAGCUCUUAUGAGGGAGAGAUAUGUCACGGAAAGGUACAAACAAGAGCAACUAACCAAGCUCUACAACUUGAGGCAAGGAAAUAGAAGUGUGGAGGAGUAUUAUGAUGAGUUUCAAAACUUGAUCCUACGUCUUGACAUAGUCGAACCUCCAAAUCAUUGCCUAGCUCGGGUCAAGGGUGGCUUGUGCUAUGAAAUUGUUUCUCAAUUAGUUGUCCACAAGUUUGACCGAAUUGAGGACCUUGUAGAAGCGGCCAUUGAAGUUGAAAGGAACAAUCAUGCUAAGAAGACCGUCAGGUGGGACAAGUCCUACAAGCCCUUAGAGAAGAAGCCAUUUGAUAAAACAAUCCAAAGGUAUCCACGGCUUGAAGGUACUAAUUCUUCCACUCCUAAUCCUAAGGGUAUCGUUUGUUUUAAAUGUCAAGGUUGGGGUCACAAAGCUAGCUAGUGCCCAAACCGAAGGAACAUUGUACUAGUGGAGGGUGCUCCUUAUUUUGUUGGGGAUAAAGUGACCAAAAAUGAUGUUAGUGAAGGAACCCCUCAAGAGGAUGAUGGAGAUGAUGGUGAACCCGAGAGGGUGGUGGAAGAAGGGGAAGUUAAUGUGUCUUGCGGAUUGAUGAGCAGAACAACUCAUGAUGAUGCUUGGCCCGAAGAAGGUGAGGUCUUGAUUCCACUUUGACCUCUUGAUGAUGAAGAACCCGAGAGUACACUAUGGUCCUUGCUCCAAGGAAGUACACUUUUCUUUUUGUCUUGUUUCUUGUCACACUUAGGUGGAUAGACAAGUAUUUCUUUUGGUGCUUAGAAGGGUAUCUUAUUCCCUAAGUUCCCACGGCAUGUGUAGAAUGUACACUCGUGGUUUGAUAUUUUUUUGUUGAUUAUGCUAACUUUAACCCUCAUGUCAUGAGGAAUAUGUGUUCUUUUGUCUCCUUUAUUGUUUUGAAGGUUUGGAUUCCAGGUCGAAUCCUUUUUCAAGAAGGGGAGGAUGAUACGAGUACGAUCGUGAUUGUGGAUCAAUACGUUAAGAACUCGUGCUUGGGUGACUGGCCAACUAAUGGAACAAGCUUUGGAGUGUUGGCUCAUUAAGGACAUUUUAGUCAUUUUGUAAUAAGUUGUAACCUAGGCUAUAAAUAGAACAUAUUAGGUCAUUUUCUCAUAACUUUGAUGAUAUUUUGAGAGCUCUAGAGAGAGAGUCUUGCAAGGUGGAUUCAAGUGUGGAUAUCACUUGUGUUGGUUCUAGUUUUGAAACGUUGGUUGCUUGGGGAUCCCGUUCCCUUGAGGUCACCGUAGAGCUUGGUGGUACUUGUAUGAAUUCUUGGGUAUUUGUGUUUAAUAUACAUUAGGUUCAUAGUGUUUGUACAUUUGUAUGUCAAGUUACCUAUCUAUCUAUCUAUUUCAUUGUUGUUGUUGUUCAUUCUCGGGUUUGGUGUCCCAAAACCGUGACUUUGUGUUCUUCUUGUUCUUGUGCUUGUGUUGUUAAUCUAGUUUGUUGGCUCGCUGAUUUUUGAGGUGUUGAACGCCUUAAUAUCUUGUUAUUGUGUUUUUGUUGUUGUUGUAGUGAAUCCGAGAGUGGUCACCAAAGGGUCCUUGGUUCUUCCAACUUGUGGACUGUUUUGGUGUUUGUUUUGUGCCUCCUUUGUCGAUCUUGUAUCAUUUGACCUCAAUUGUAACAAAAUUCACACUGUUUGGAACAGGUUUUGUUUUAACAGAACCAGAAGUCUACGGAAGGGACAAAGAGGAGGAUGAGAUAGUGAAAAUUCUGAUAAACAAUGUUAAUGUUGCUCAAGAACUUCCAGUGUUCCCUAUAGUUGGCAUGGGGGGUCUAGGAAAGACAACACUUGCCCAAAUGAUCUUCAAUGAUGAGAGAGUGACUAACCAUUUCAAUCCCAAAAUAUGGGUUUGUGUCUCCGAUGAUUUUGAUGAGAAGAGGUUGAUAAAGACAAUUGUAGGAAAUAUUGAAAGAAGUUCUCUUGAUGUUGGGGACUUGGCUUCAUCUCAAAAGAAGCUUCAGGAGUUAUUGAAUGGAAAACGAUAUUUGCUUGUCCUAGAUGAUGUUUGGAAUGAUGAUCCAGAAAAGUGGGCUAAGAUAAGAGCAGUCUUAAAGACAGGAGCAAGAGGUGCUUCUGUUCUAGCUACUACUCGUCUUGAAAAGGUUGGAUCAAUUAUGGGAACGUUGCAACCAUAUCAUUUGUCAAAUUUGUCUCAACAUGAUGGUUUACUGUUGUUUAUGCAAUGUGCAUUUGGGCAACAAAGAGGAGCAAAUCCUAAUCUAGUGGCCAUUGGAAAGGAGAUUGUGAAGAAAUGUGGUGGCGUCCCUUUAGCGGCCAAGACUCUUGGUGGUCUUUUACGCUUCAAGAGAAAAGAAAGUGAAUGGGAACAUGUGAGAGAUAAUGAGAUUUGGAGUCUGCCGCAAGAUGAAAGUUCUAUUUUGCCUGCCUUAAGACUAAGUUAUCAUCACCUUCCACUUGAUUUGAGACAAUGCUUUGCGUAUUGUGCCGUAUUCCCAAAGGACACCAAAAUGGUAAAGGAAAAUCUCAUCUCUCUCUGGAUGGGCCACGGUUUUCUUUUAUCAAAAGUAAAUUUGGAGCUAGAGGAUGUGGGUAAUGAAGUAUGGAACGAAUUAUGCUUGAGGUCUUUCUUCCAAGAGAUUGAAGUUAAAUCUGGUAAAACUUAUUUCAAGAUGCAUGAUCUCAUCCAUGAUUUGGCUACAUCUCUAUUUUCAGCAAGCUCAUCAAGCAGCAAUAUCCGCGAAAUAAAUGUAAAAGGUUACACGCAUAUGACAUCCAUCGGGUUCACUGAAGUGGUGCCUUCUUACUCUCCUUCCCUCUUGAAAAAAUUUGCCUCCUUGAGGGUGCUUAAUCUAAGUUACUCAAAACUUGAGCAAUUACCCUCUUCCAUUGGAGAUCUAGUACAUUUAAGAUACCUGGACCUGUCUCGCAAUAACUUUCAUAGUCUUCCAGAGAGGUUAUGCAAACUUCAAAAUCUGCAGACUCUUGAUCUACAUAAUUGCUACUCACUUUCUUGUUUGCCAAAAAAAACAAGUAAACUUGGUAGUCUCCGAAAUCUCUUACUUGAUGAUUGUCCAUUGACUUCCAUGCCACCAAGGAUAGGAUUGCUGACACACCUUAAGACUCUAGGUUGCUUUAUUGUGGGAAGAACGAAAGGUUAUCAACUUGGUGAACUAAAAAACCUAAAUCUCUGUGGCUCCAUUUCAAUAACACAUCUUGAGAGAGUGAAUAAUGAUACGGAUGCAAAAGAAGCCAAUUUAUCUGCAAAAGCAAAUCUGCAAUCUUUAAGCAUGAUUUGGGAUAUCGAUGGAACAUAUGGAUAUGAAUCAGAAGAAGUUAAAGUGAUUGAAGCCCUCAAACCACACCGCAAUCUGAAGCAUUUAGAAAUCAUUGCCUUUGGAGGAUUCCAUUUUCCAAACUGGAUAAACCACUCAGUUUUGGAAAAGGUCGUCUCUAUUAAAAUUAAAAUCUGCAAAAACUGCUUGUGCUUACCACCCUUUGGGGAGCUGCCUUGUCUAGAAAGUCUAGAGUUACAAUACGGGUCUGUGGAGGUGGAGUUUGUUGAAGAGGAUGAUGUUCAUUCUAGAUUCAACACAAGAAGAAGGUUUCCAUCCCUGAAAAGACUUCGUAUAUGGUUCUUUUGUAAUUUGAGAGGAUUGAUGAAAGAGGAAGGAGAAGAGAAAUUCCCCAUGCUUGAAGAUAUGGCGAUUUUACAUUGCCCUAUGUUUAUUUUUCCAACCCUUUCUUCUGUCAAGAAAUUAGAAGUUCAUGGCGACACAAAUGCAACAGGUUUGAGCUCCAUAUCUAAUCUUAGCACUCUUACUUCCCUCCGCAUUGGCGCUAACUAUGAAGCAACUUCACUCCCAGAAGAGAUGUUCAAAAGUCUUACAAAUCUCGAAUACUUGAGUAUCUUUGAGUUCAAUUAUCUGACAGAGCUACCUACCAGCCUGGCUAGUCUCAGUGCUCUGAAGCGUAUCCAAAUUGAAAAUUGUGAUGCUCUAGAGAGUCUCCCCGAGCAAGGACUGGAAUGUUUAACUUCACUCACACAGUUAUUUGUUAAAUACUGUAGGAUGCUAAAAUCUUUACCUGAGGGAUUGCAGCACCUAACAGCCCUCACAAAAUUAGGAGUUACUGGUUGUCCAGAAGUGGAAAAGCGCUGUGAUAAGGAAUUAGGAGAAGACUGGCACAAAAUUUCUCACAUUCCAAAUCUGGAUAUUCGUUAGUCUUAGUCUUACAUUCCUGCCAUUGGAUAUAAUGUUGUGAUUUUCAUUUGGAAACGACUCAAAGAUUAGGAUCAAUUAGUAUUAUCAUUCGAUUUUGUUUAAACUAAGGAAACAUCUGUCAAAAAGCAAUGAUACACAUCUAUCACAUUUUUCUCGAUAAAGUUAGUGAGAAUGAUUCUAUUUCUUUAGUAAAUCUUAAGUAGAUUAUAUACUGAUAUCAUUUAUACCAAGUGCUUGUUAUUCUCCUGAUGAAAGGAUAAAUUACUUCCAGCCUUUCGAAUGUUUCCAGUGGUUUUCUGUUAUAUCACUUUGAUCACCUUCAGAAGUGGGAUUCCAUCCGAACUUAGAUAAAAAGUGUCCUUCACCAUGUAGCUCUCAUGCAGCCUUGGAAAACUAUUUCUGGAAUGAGAUCUUAUCGCAAAGCCCUUAGAACGAGGCGUUUGUAGUAAGCUCAGAACACUGACUAACUGCCAACAUUUCUAGGAGCUGAAAUCUAUUUGUUAUUGUUACUUGAAAUUAGUUUCCUAGCUUAGAAUCUUGCAUCUCUUCAAGCUAAGGUGUAUUUAGUUUCUUACUGCCAUUUGACGGACUCCCUGUGUUAGAUUUGAUGGAAACUUAAUUCAUUCUACUACUAUUUUGGAAGUUUGGCAAAAGUCCACUUCCCAAACUUUUUUUUGAUAUUUAUCCACCAAGUUUUUCUAAUUUGAAGAAUGGACACUUUUAUGAAACCACAAAAAUAAAAUGCAAAUCUAACACUCAACUUACAAAAUCUACACUUUAGCUCCUUUUCCCAUUUUAGCCCUAAUUUUGUUAAAACUACACUUUAGUCCAUCUUGAAAAAUAUAAAUAUUGGAUAAAUAAUUUUUUAAAAAAAACAUCCCAAAUCUUCUCAACCAAUCCACUAGCAACCACCCUAUUUUGGCGCCAUUUCCUUGAUUUUCCGACCAUUUUUCGU
rnacentral:lncRNA from 1 species